rnacentral:lncRNA from 1 species
UGCACCUCUAAUGUCGAUUUUUGGAUUAUCUCCUAUCAUGUAUAGGGUUUUGAAACAACGAAUUCCAGAGUUUGUAGUAUUCUCCACAUCUAGGUUGCUUAACAAAGAUGGCACAAGAUUCCUUAGCAUUGUCUCAGCAUUUCCAUAGACAAAUGGAUUUGGCUUCCCAUAUGAUGUAUACGCCAGCGGAAUGUGAUGUAUUCUGCAGGACAGGGACAAGCAAACAAUGGGCAACAUAAAAUUGAAGAUUAAUGCAUGUCGCUAUGCUGCAUUGAGGCAAAUUAGGCCUACACAAGGAUCUUAUAGGCCAAUCUUUAAUUUUUUGUGGAGAACAGUAUAUCAAACUCCAUGCAGAACUAACCAUUGAGAAGCAGAAACCUCCUAUUACCUGUUAUAGAUUGCUUCUAAUGCAAUCCUGAAAGCUCCCAUACCCAGACGUUCAGCAGGAAAAGUAGCCUGCCUUUACACUUUGUCAGCUAGUCAUCAGCCAGUCUUUAGUUCCACUAAGGUUUCAAAAACUCAAGAUUGCAACUCACAUCACAAAUGGCAUAGCAUACCUGGUAUUCUAGGUCAUCAUUUGCAAAAAACAGGUGUGGUUGCUUUCCAGUCUCCUUUCCAGGAAGCCCUCCAGUUCUCAAUAUGUCACAGAGCACCUAAACCCAAACUUGAGUAUCACAGAAUUAUUUUAAAGUACAGAGACAGAUAGACAGAUGAUGACACUCCAUUUUAUCACUUCUUUCAAACUAUAUUGCAGCAUCCACUAGACUUCUAAAAAGAUGACAACUAAAGUUGCAGAGUAGUUACUGAACAAACAAAACAAAGCCUAGUGUCUUUUGAUAAUCAGUUCAAAGAUUUAGAACUCGCGUGACUAAAAGACCAGUAUGGACUCAACAGCAGAAUUAGAUAAUCUAGGAAAGGACAAGAUCCAUUGGAGUGGUCACAACCUGAAUAUCUCUGCUCCAAUCAACAGAAUCACUGACUACAAAUGCUGCCUGAACUCUCUGUGUUUGUACCACAAUUUUUCUCUGCGCCAUCUCAUUGGAAGUGCUAUUCUGGUCAAUGUCUGGCUUAGUUGUCCAUCUCUUGUACGGUGCCAGUGGAUCAAUAGCAUCAAAGUAGCUAGUGUACUCAUCAAUUGACAGAACAUUUCUGCAUAGAAAAGGUACAACAAGGAAGAAGGUCAACCGGAGAGAAAUAAAAGAGAAUCGAGUUGUUGGAAUUCGCGUUCCAGGUGAAACGGUAUUGAACACAGACAACUAAAAUGAAUUAAGGAGAGGACUCCUCUGCAAUUACUCAAGUCCCUGAGAACUUCAGUGCUUUUUAUUAACUUUGCUUGCUCCUAUGUAUUACCUAGACAUUAAAGUAAUAACCAUCGAUAUCAGUUUUAUUAAAUACAUAUCUUUAUCCCUAUUGCCAAGCUAUAUUUCUCUUCCCCUCCCCCCACCCACACACCUGCAUGCACAGGCAAGUAAUUGAGACAUUGCUGGGUACAUUUGCAAACCUAGAGAAGUUGUAAAAAUAUUUACUUGUAUCCAUAUUCGGACAUCACAGCAGCAGGUUCUCCUUUGCCAACAGCAACGACAAGUUCAUUCUCGAAUCUGUGCAAAAACCUCAAUUAGGAAACAGAUGAAUAAAAUAGAGAAGCAUAUUCAUUAGUAAAACAGAAAAGCCUAUUCAGAAUUCUCAUAGAAUAGUUAGUACAUGCAUGCGCACUCUUCUAUGUCUUUUCAAUUCAUAUGAUAUAAUAUAUGUAGUGCAUUUCCCUGGUUUCCAAAAGAAAGCACAUCAGAUGAAGAUAUUAGGUGUUCUUUGAUAUCCACGUACACAUACAAGAUGUGUACAUUCAAUAAAGCCCAAUUUCACAGUUUUGAACCUACUAAAGUGUGUACUUAUAAUUAAUUCUUGUACAGGAGAAUUUUUAUUAAGCUAAUAAUACACAUGCACGAUAUUUUAUUUCACAAUCCCAUAUUUUAAUAAUCAUGAGUUAGAUAGAUGAAAAAAGUAAAUGUUAUUGAAAAUGCUCAGUCCUGAUUUACAUUAGCAUGCCAAAUUUCUCAUUGGACAUUGGUCAUGGAGAUAAUCCAACAAAUCCUUACCUAUUUACCAGUUGUUUAAAAGGUGUGUGGCCCUGUAUGACCUGCAAAUUAUCUUGGUCAAAAUAUGAGAGAGAACGAAACAAAGUAGUUCUGGACCUGAUAACAAGCAAAAUCAUGAGGGCAAGCAGAUUUUGUAACACAAGAGAUGAACUACCUGUGAAGGUAGAAUGUUGACUCCUAGUAGUUGACCUAAGUCCUGGGCUCUUUUGGAUUCAGAAAAGCCACCUCCUGCAUCAGCCAUUGCUAUUAGCAGUGUGCAGUAAAAACUAAUUAUCGCUUCUUCAAGAAUUAACAAGUGAAAUUUCUUCUUUCAAGGGAGUAACAUAUUGAACAUAGGUAAGGGAAUCUCAAAAGGCGUCACAGAUUCAAAUUGCUUGAAUGUCUCAAACAUAAGAUAGCAGCAAUCUCAAAAUCAUCAAGACGAUUACUAUUAGAUCUUAAAAGUACCAAUACUUGCCGAUAACUGAAUAAUCAACCACAACAAGCAUAUGAUGUCCAGCACGCGACUUGAAAACUUUAGUUUGACCAUUAUAUCACGGCACUCACCGGUAGUGAUUCUAUUGAACGGUCACAUUCAGUAACACAUAUCAAAAGUGAGAAACGUAAUGACAAAAAUUACUAACACAUUAAAGCAAUUACUAGGACCUAUUGAAGUCUACCAAUCAGGAACACUCACCAUUUGUUAAGAACACGAAAGGUAUCUUCAACUUUCCUGAAAAGAUGGAGAACGUAAAGUAAGUGAUAGCAGGCUAUCAAAUAGCAGAUACGAAGCUCGAUAUCCCCCGCCCCUACAGUCCAUCAGAAAACUCGGUAUCGAUCAGCGAAAAAGACAUGCAUUCGCAACGUAGAACAUACGCGAAACGGCAAGAUCACCAGCACGACAUAAGCCUCGCAGGUAUAUUAGCAAGCGAUGGCGAAAGCUUUACCAGAAUCGUCGUACAAUCUCCUGAGCGCGCGCGGAGAACCGCCGACGGGAGUGUGACCGAGGAGGACCACGCCGUCGAUGUCGAAGGCGAUGCCGAACGAAGGCCUGCACGACGAAACCACGAUCGUCGAUUCGAUCACGGACGAAAAAGAAGAAGAAAAAGAGAAAAAGAGAACAUCGGAGAAAGUCACGAGCGUAGUCGAAGCAUGACCGGAACGCACCGAUCCGAUUGCGAGCUAAGCCGCGAAAACGAGCGCAAGGGCGAGGCGAGCGGGGACGGCUGCUUUCUGCCUCGACUCCGCGAGGCGAUGGUGAAAAGCCGGUGCCUCAUUGUCCUGUUCGCGGCCAAUCGCUUCGGGAGAUCGAGGAGCUCGAGUCGCUGGAGAUGAAUCUCCAAGAAGAACCGGAACGAGCUUCAACAGUCUACAACAGAGAGAGAGAGAGAGAGAGUGGCCCAAUCGCGCAGCGUCUUCUCGUUCGAUGUUCGGGAGCCGUGAAUUGGGCCCGUUGAAAUGAUGGGCGGGCCUCGAUAACGGAUCGACCUUUCAUUCGGAUCCGAGCUCAACGGUUAAGCUUGAUUUUGGUUAGCGUUUUUGGGCUCUUUUCUUUAGUUCUUUCAUUUUUGUUGUAGUUUUCUCUUUAGGCCUAGUAAUUCGGGCUCCUUGUCUCGGAACCUCUCGAGAGAAUCGCUAACUGCAUCUUUGGUGCACCUGGUGCAUGUACGUAUAGAAAUUCUCAAUUGGCUAGUCGUAAAUGGCCCCACCCUAGGACUAUGAAACCAAUGGUUAUCCCAAACCUACAUCAAGAUGUAGACGGUGAUUCUCAAAUAUUGAAAAACAGGGUGUGAUACAAUGAAAUAGGAUGCAAUGGAGAUAGACACAAAAAAUGAACGGAUUGCUUUUUUACUUUUUCUUUUUACUAUUUCCUUGUAGCGUAGUUUAUCACUUCUGAAUGAUUUUUUAUCCAGCCAAAGGAUAAUCUUCUAUAUUUGCUCCAACAUGUUUAACAUUUUCAACCUGGCGAAAAUUUGAUUAGAUGCAGAAGAGAAACAAGUGGAAUAUCAACCAAAAGAAAAUCAAAACUGUUAUACAUACCUUAGUAUUAGUCUUCAUAAAUAAAAGAUACUUUUGCAUUCCAUAAGUACUGACUUGUUUUGUUAUGCAGAACAUCCAUGUCUAGCACUUACCCAUUGUAAAUUUGAGUGUGUUGAAAGGUGAAAUAGUUUUUGUGCUCAGGGACAUGACAGACUUACAUUGUGAAAGACCAGAGUGUGGCAAAAAAUUGAUAAGAAUUCUCCUAUUGAAUAUGCCGCGACAAUGUCAAUUAAUCCUCCAAUCGCUUUCAAAAUGCUUGGAGACUUCACCUAUUUGGAACCAAGUAUAUAGACAGUACAGAAGUCCUCUUAGCUGUCCCCAAAGUUUUACCAUAAGCAAUUUUUGAAAGUUGUCCUAAUCAGUUGUGAUAAUUAAGGGAUUCUAUUGUGCAAAAUGGGGUUACAAGUAUGGUGGGUCGAUGCCUCAUCCAAAUUGUGAAAUCCCGCGGCAUCCAUAGCAUCAACAUAAUUAGGGACAGGUGCUCUUUUGAAAGCUUUUAGUAACCUUGACACCGUAUAACUUUUGUCAAACUAUUGUUGUUUAAAACUUUUGUGUAGACUUUAGAUAGCAAGGGUGUGUGUGGGUUUGCUUUUAUUUCUCUUUUCAGUGAUCUACCUUAAUCAUUGCUAGCAAGCCUUUUUUUGUUUUUUUGCCCCUUGCGAGAAAGCAUGGAGCUCUUGUCUACUUAGCUUCUAAAGUAACUUUGGAUGGUUACACAGCCCGAAUUCUAUUUGAAAUUCAAGCUCUAUGAUGACAAGUUGGAACUCUUUGGGGACCGAAUUACUUGUGGCAACUCUGUCUUUUCAUGUUCUUGUCACACCCCAAAACUACAAAGAAUGGGGAUGACACGGCCGUCCUUCUUUACAAAGGACGCAGCCUCAAACACAACCAACAAACCGAUAUUAACUUAUAUAUAUAUAUAUAUAUAUAUAUAUAUAUAUAUAUAUAUAUCAGAUAAACCUUCAAAUUGGUUGCAACAUCAGAGUUUCUAUAAUCCACUAAAAAGAUAAAAGAGAUAUACGUCUAAAACUCAGACGAUCAAACCACUAGUAAGGAUCAUUUUGCACCACUUCCUUAAACCAUACCAAAAACAAAAUAGAACUCCCCAAAAGUUUCCCAUGAUGGCGCACUCGCUUUAUUCGCCGCUAGCUAAGGAACCUGAAAAGAUCAAAGGAGGAAUGGGAUGAGCAACCACAGCUCAGUGAGUAGUACAUAUCUUCUAAGCAGAUUGAACAACCACAAUGCAUGUAUACAAAGCAAUACCAAACUUCAUAACGCCAACUCAAUAUAUAAAAUACGUAUUGAAUCUUAUAAGAGUUAUUUCUUAUUAUAAAAAAUUUAUACUAAUAUGGAAAACUCAUUUAAAUCGCCAUCGAAAGUCAAGUAUCAAUGGUCGAAUCCAUUGAAUAAUCUCCAUCAAAAACACAUAUCAAUGGUCUAUCCAUUGAUCAAUCUUUUGCUCAAUAACUAACCAUGGUCACGACACAACACCUUGUGACAAGGCGACCAAGAUUCUCCCCUUGGCAAGAUCUCCACCUACAAAGCUGAUGCCUGGGCCCAGAAGGAUAUCCUAAACCUGGUAUGCAUACCCCAAAAACCCUUCACUGGGUUCACAGUUAUAUUGAGUAUAAAUAACCAUUCUCUAAUACCAGAAAUCCAAUCCAGAAAUCAAUAUCUUAAACCAAACAAAUAAUAUUUUGCAACAUAGCCCAUAAUUCAUUUCAUAUCCAUUUCUCAAAUCAUCAUAAACCUUUUCAUAAAUCAGUCACAAAGCAAUUUCAUAUAUGUUUCUCCACAAACCUUAUAUAACAUGCUUUUCAAAUAUUCACAGUCAACCAAAGGGUAGCAAUUACUCGAUCUAGCUUUUAUGCAAUAAAAAUGCUCUUCUCAAUUCAAUAUAUAUACAUAUAUAUACUUCAAUACAUGAUUUUAUAAAACCAAAAAAGAUAUAGUACCACUCACCUUAUCGUUUACAACCAAACGACAAACGAUACUUGUAUCGUCGAACUCAAGGCCCUAUUAAAUAACCAAAGAAUAAUUUUAAAAUCUAAUAAAAUUCUAUCUCGACUACAAAAUGACUAAGUUACACCUUAAUUCUAACAAAAGUUCUUCUGCGCGCUAACAAGUCGCAUAACCAAAUCGAUUGUUCAAGCCAUUCGCAACAUGAAGUUUAAGCGCAAAACUUGAUCGAGCCUUAACUCUCUCUUCCGAACUCCGAUCCGAAUGUACUUAUAGUCAAUAGAGAGCCCUUGACACAUAUUACAAGAAUCCCAAAUUGGCCAUCCCAAAAUCAAGCCGAAAAAUGACAAAAUACGGGCCCAAAGCUACUGGACGCGUACUGUUUACUGCGCGCGGGAAACUUUGAAAUUUUGUUUCGGACAAACCAUAAGCUCAAAUCACGAUCCGUAAAAUCCCAUGGCUCCACAACACCCUAAAUUACCAUUCUUACAAAAAUACGCGGCUCAACAACUCCAAAAUUAGACUUCGCCGCUCGAUUUUCCAAAAAUUCCGAAUUUGAGUCCUAAAUGCAAAAAUUACUUCAAUCGGACAAACAAGGGGCUUGAUCUCUUACCGGGUUAUGGAGUCGAGUUGGCUUGGCGAGGCAUCCGAGGCGUGCACGUGCCAAAACUUCUUUCCUUUCUUCCCUUUUCUCUUCUUCUUCUUCUCCUUCUUUUUCUUAUCUUUUUGGUCGAGGAAACUCUCAGUUUCUGUUUAGCCGAACCUUCUCCCCUCUCCUUUUUGCUUUAAUGACUUUUCGGUUUCUUUUUCAGUUUCUUCUUUUGGGGCAUUUGCAACUUCUUUUGCUGUUACUUCUUUUGGGGCCCACUAGACUAAUGUUACAGUUCUAAUUACAAACCUUGCUGGUGGACUAAAAGUUAUGAACAAUUGCCAGAUGCACAAAUAUGUUGAUUAUGUUUGGUUGUGGUAGUGAUAUAUCAAUUUACAAAUUGAAAAUGUGCCAAAAUAUUCAGCAUUCUCAUAUCUCAGGUUUUUAUGGAAGAUGGUGUGAUUGACAAAGAUCUCUUGCAUUGAAUAACAAGGAGAAGUUGAUCUUGAGCUUGUGUUACUGUAGUUGACCCUUUCAAACUUAAAGUAACACAGAGUGUGAUCACUUAUUCGAGGAAAUUAUAAUCUCUGGCUAGGUGCUAUAAUGGGCAGGAAUCUAUGAGGCUAACUAAGCAUUAGUUCAUGCAUUGGCAUGCAAGAAUGGUUCUGUUAUGAGGGCAUUUUGAGAAACUGAUUAUGUUGAACUUAUCAAAGAAAGUAAGACAAUACUUUAGGUUGGUUUUGGUACAUCAACUAACAUCCUUCAAUCUGCCAAUAUAAAGAUGAGGUCUUGUGAUGGGGUAACAUGUAUAGGAAAGAUUAGAAGGACUUGCUUUUUGAAUCUAUUGAAGGCAAAAGCAGUUAAUUGAAGUGUGAAGUGAAAAGAUAUGUUUCUGCAUUGCUCAUCAGAAGUGACUUGUUAUUAUAGAUGCCGCUUCUACUAUUUUUGCAGUCAUCAUGUGUUCUAGAUGUUGAUUGCUGGUAUGUUUAGAUCAUCAUACUACUGGGGCAUUGGUAAUUCCAUCUUUUGUGGUUGCUGGUGGAAAAUUACCUUUAGUAUAUCUAAGACCUCUCUUACUUUGCAACUUCCUAUAGUGAUUUUUUAAAUUUUGUGAUGAGACACAAAAAAGGUCAUAAAACAUUUUGCAGUGCUUGACACAUUAAUUUAGUAGAGCUCUCUUUAGCCAGCUCAUUAGUUCCUAUGUGACAUCUAGGAUGAAUUUAGUAGAAUUCGUAAUUUCUUUUUCAACUUAGCAGUUAGCAUUGCAUUUCAGUAACUAAAAUUAAUUUCUUUUUCAACUUAGCAGUUAGCACUGCAUUUUAGUAACUAAAAUUGGUUUUUAUUGGGCUUUCAUGACCCUUUUUUUUCGUGACAAAGCUGGCUCUGAUGAAGGAAAAGAGGCAUUGAAGAAACUCGGUGCUGGGGAAGUGUUCACUAAGAGCCAAUUAGAAGUAAAGAAUGUCAAGAGUCUACCGGUAUCAUGCACCCAUUAACCCAUUCUACCAUAUUCUCAUGCAUGGACACACAUCCACAUUUAGCCAUCGGCACUUGAGUUCUUUAUUUACAUCUAAUUGACUUGAAACUAGGGUGAUCUUUAAGAACCUGCCCUUGGAUUAAACUGUGUUGGUGGCAAUGCUGCUUCCUUGGUGAUGAAAUUUUUUAGGUGCAACAAGUGUUAAAGUAGUGUUGAGUGCUUCCCAUAUCUUUCCGAAGAGAGCUGAUUUCGUUUUGUUCUUAGACGGGGAGGAACCAUGGUGACAUAUGGUGGGAUGUCUAAGAAACCAAUUACAGUAUCAACUUCAUCUUUCAUCUUCGAGUUAAAUUAAGAAGCGGCAAACUAAAUUUUCCGCCUAUGGUUACGAGGUUAUUUCAGUCAAGCCUUACAAUUUGACUUGUCCAUGUUUUGGUCUCGGUCUUGGUCAAUGCCCUAUGGUUUUACUUUUUGUCUAAACUUGGCCCAAAAUCUCACUUUCAGUAUUUGACGCAACCAAAUUUGAGAAAAAAAAAAAUUAUUCCUAGAGUCAAGACUAAGAGGAAUGGUGUAAACCAAUGCUUCCAUAUAUUCAAUCGCACAGGGAGUUUUUUUUUUUUUUUUUUUUGGGAGGGGGGAGGCAAUGUAAUUACCUGUUAAGAAAUGAAGCAAACUAUGGAUUGGUGAGAAAAUCAUGCACGUGAGAUCAAGAGAUUAUCCACAUUGAUUUCUUAGGGCCAAAGAAUCACUAUCACUUGAUCCCUUAAUCGAAAGUAGUAACUGUGGCAUAGCUCAGGCAUCUUUAAGCCUGCAAUAGGUGCUGAACAUCAAAAGAUAAACUUGUACCCGUAGGAGGCGUUCUAAUAAAAGAUCUAGAGCAAAGAAGAAGGCAUAGAAACAAUGGUUCUACUAUUGUCUCCUUGAUUUCAUUGUGAUAUCUCAUGCAAAAGUUCAAUUGUACCCAUAGGGGGCGUUUUAGUAAAAGAUCUAGAGCAAAGGCAUAGAAACAACGAUUCUAUUAUUGUCUCCUUCUUGAUUUCACUGUGAUAUCUCAUGUUCAAUUGUACAGUCAGUACCGUUGACUUCUGGAAUUAAUUCCUAAAUCAUAAAGCACAUCUUGAGUGUACGAUAAUGGUUGUUAUGGUUUGCAGGAUCUUUCUUUUAGGGGAUUUUGGCUGCAUAACUGGAUGAGUUCAAAUGAUGUGACAGAGUGCAGAAGAAUGAUAGAUCACUUGCUGGAACUAGUGCGUGAUGGGAAGUUAAAAUACGAGUAUGUCUUUGGUAACUCUACUCAAGUUGCUGUAUUUAGGUCUCCAUUUCUUUAUAGUAAUAUCCAAUAGUCUGUAUCGUCAAGAUAGUGUGUUUCGAUUGUGGAUGCAUAUGAAUUUCUGCAAAACUGCAGGACGGAGCUGGUUCCUUUUAGUGAUUUCCACAUUGCUGGAUAAAUCACUGGGGAAACUUGGAAGCCAUCCUAAGCAAGUCUUAAAGUUCUAAGGCUACUGAAUAUUAAGGGCGGUGAAAAGAUGGAAAAAUUAUGCGUCGUAUUCUUCAAACGAUCAGCUUGUUCUGAAGUUCCCAUACGCUAGAUUAACCCAACAAGAUAACUAUGUAUUCUUUCCAUUAUUAUAAUUAUUAUUUUAUCUUUUCAUAAGUUGUGCAUCUUUUUCUGUUGAGGUCCCUCUUGUUGCGGCUUAUUUUCAGCAAUUUCCAUUCUGAAUUUGUUUUGCAUCAAGCCUUCCAAUCUAAAACUAAUCUUGUGCUCUGCUAAAACAUGAGGUCCAUCUGCUCAAUUUGGAGAUCCAAACAUCGGCUCUUUAUGGUAUUGGAACAGUCCGGAAAGUUUUCAGAUUUUGCCAAUUACAAUUCUCAUAUACAUGUAAGAAGGAACAUUGGGAUACUUACCAAAAAUCAUGUAAGCAAGAUCGCAUGCGCUGAGAAAAGAGCAAGAAGAACCAUAAAUUGUUCACGUGAUCCAUCUAAUUCAGAUGGGAUGCGGACUGCCUUCAAGGAAAGUCAUACAUUAAACACGAUAAACAAAAUCAAGUGAAGACUAGUGAAUGGAAGUUACUUUUUGAGAUAAGGAAAACACACGAUGGAAAGAUCGUGUCAGCUUCCGAAGAAUUGGCGAUUGUUCAGUAAUCACAGAAAGAAAGGGUAUCUUUUGUCUAGACAAUGUCGAGAACCGCACUCCUUUCUCAAUACAAAGUCGACCACGUCCCCACAGUAUCCACCACUUGCCUGGGGUAAACAUAAAAGAGUUCAACCAAGAUGAGAGAUUUUCAAAUUCAUUUUCAACCUUGAAAAAUUUAGAGAGAAAACAAAUUCUCCGUAAAAGUGGCUUUCCAUUAUGCACGGCUUUGAAAUACUAACAUUUUGCUAGGCCGAAGAGGGAAAGGGUUCAUUCAAUCAUGUUUCAUCCCACCAAGUUAGAAUCUACAGAUCACCUAGAGCAUAGCAAAUCAAGGUAUAUAAGUACUUGGAAGAUCAUCCGCGCUGACACCUCAAAACACUUAAAGUCAUGUUUGGUUAAUGGUCAGGGAAUCAUGAAAGGAAUCCCAAACUGUAAAAUCACAGAGGACAAUAGUUGGAAAAAUGUCCAUGGAUCUUAUGUGGUCCUUCAUUCUGUUUCUAUCCCUAGUUUUCUGUUAUUCGCUUUGUAUAUGUUGACUAGAGACGCAUUCCAUUUCUCACAUGUACAAUAUGAUUAUUAUGUCAAGAGAUGGGCUUCAUUCGGUGAGCAAAGGUCAACAUGGAAUUCUUGUGACUUCAGCCUAAGAAUAGAAUUUCUAAAUCAAUCUAGUAAUUUAUUUUUUGUUUAUUUCACGAAAAAUAAAUAAUUUAAUAAAUAUUUUCCUAAAAGUAAUUAUUUAUAUCGCUCAAAAUAAUUAUUUAAUAAUAAAUAUUUUUAUUAUCUAUAAUAACUUAUAUUUAAAUAUUUUUUCAUAAAAAAUGAAAAUAUUUUUAGUUUGUUUAUUUGUAUAAGCAAUAUAAAUGAUUAUAUUUAGGAAGAAUAUUUUAUUAAUCAUUCUCUUAAUCCAAGAUACAUUCCUAUUAUGUCUGUGCUAUAGUCCCAUCUUCUUUCUCGAUUGAAUUAAUUAAUCACCUAGGCCAAAAGUAAAGCAAAAUCUUUCGGGCUCUAAAUAGGCAAUAAUACUCUAACGGCUUUUCAUCGGCCAACAUUUAGUUAUUCUCAUGGACCAAUACCAUCUGUUUUUAUGGUCGUCGUAGUCAAAAAGGGGAUUGGAAAUUAGAACACCUUUUGAAGGGAGGAGAUUAUGUAAAGCCAAAAGAAGCAACAUGGAUGGACCAUUUUCUUAGCCGGAGCAUCAACAAACGGAGAAAAUUAUGGAGAUACAAUCCUCCUCAGAUGAUGGUUUAACAGUGUACUAAGCACCGGCCAACGGACGAGUGUGAUCAUCAUCUUUUAAGGAGACAAUGAAUGAUUAGAUAGCUUUGUUGAUGACAUGAAAGUGACAAGCGGUACUUCUACUGUAGCAUUUACAUUUGGAAAAAGAUGGGACUCCCGUUAUAUUCUUUUCUACCUAAGGGUCAAGGGAGAGCAUUAAAUUCCCUCCCCCCCACCCCCCUCCACCCCUUCUCUCCAAAAAAAAAAAAAAAAGAGCCUAUUGACUUAUCUCUCCUAUUGAGUGCUUAAAUCAGAGGAUUAAUAUCUUGAAAAAUCCAAAACUGAUAUAUUUGUGAUAAAUUUAUCCCAAACUAAUUUUUUUAACAUUUAAAACCCUAAAUUAGUAUACAUUUAACAAAUUUAUCUCAAACUGGUACACUUGUGAUAAAUGUACCCUCUGUUAGUUUUCGUUAAAAUUUUAUGUCAAAUUAUUAAAUUAAAUGGCAUGUGACAGUUGACUGAUAUACCAAUUAGGAAUUUUACUCUCUAUUUGUCACAAUUUAUACUUUUGUGAUUUUUUGUGGUAUUAAUCCAAUUUAACAUGAGGUAUAUUUGUUACAAAUGUACGGGUUUGAAAUUUUUGGCAGUCAAGUAAAUUAGUUUGGGGCAAAUUUAUCAUAAAUAUAUUAGUUUAGGGUUUUUUUUUUGUCAGUUGGGGUAAAUUUGUCACGAGUGUACCAAUUUGGGGUUUUUCAUGGUCAAAAAAAUAGUUUUUGGUAAAUUUAUCAUAUGUAUACCAGUUUGAGAUUUUUUAGGGUAUCAACCCUAAAUCAAAAGAAAACCAACGUCGUUUUAUCGCGUCACGGUAUUGUUGUUAGAGUUAAACAAUUGGAAAUGAGUGGAGCACCUUGUUAGAAAAUUCUACGAGACUUAGCUGAUAUUUUAUUGGGGAGAAGUACACUAAUGGUGCCAUAAGUUGUGUACAGCGCUCACUUUGGUGUCAAAAGUUUCUGUCGGAUCACUUAAGUGCCAAAUCGGAGGGAAAACGAUCACUUUGGUGCCACUAGGGAGAAAUUCCGGCCAAAAUAAUUACGUGGCUUUUAUAUUUAAAAAAAAAAAAUCGACGUGGCUUAAGAUUGUCCACAGUGGAUAGCAUAAAAUGACGUUGUUUUCCUUUCUUUGUAGAAACAACGUCAUUUCUUGCCAUCUACCGUGGAUUCACAUAAGAAACGACCCCGCGUUGCUCCAUAGCAAAAAACGAUGUCGCUAAAGAGGGAGUAAAAUAGGGUUCGUAUACGGUUCUCCUCGACGCCGACCGUAGCUUGCUCACCCACCAUCGUUCACCCACCGCCGUUCGCUUGCCGGCUGUCGCUCGCCUGCCGUCACUCGGCCAUCGUUGUAGUUGCACCGUCGUUCACGAUCAUUCAGGUUUGUCAUGUUCUCUACGUUGAUCAAUUUUGCGAAAAAAUUUAGAGUUCUAACAGGCAAGUUAGGGCACAAAGGGCAAAUUGAGGGCUCGGCUCAGGGGGAAAGUAGUGGGAAAAGUGGUGGGGAUGUCACUUUUAUGGGGACGGCAUAGAAAAAUUGAUUCUUCCAUCGUUCGUUCGCUUUCUGUUGUGGGGACCAAAUAGAAAAANNNNNNNNNNNNNNNNNNNNNNNNNNNNNNNNNNNNNNNNNNNNNNNNNNNNNNNNNNNNNNNNNNNNNNNNNNNNNNNNNNNNNNNNNNNNNNNNNNNNNNNNNNNNNNNNNNNNNNNNNNNNNNNNNNNNNNNNNNNNNNNNNNNNNNNNNNNNNNNNNNNNNNNNNNNNNNNNNNNNNNNNNNNNNNNNNNNNNNNNNNNNNNNNNNNNNNNNNNNNNNNNNNNNNNNNNNNNNNNNNNNNNNNNNNNNNNNNNNNNNNNNNNNNNNNNNNNNNNNNNNNNNNNNNNNNNNNNNNNNNNNNNNNNNNNNNNNNNNNNNNNNNNNNNNNNNNNNNNNNNNNNNNNNNNNNNNNNNNNNNNNNNNNNNNNNNNNNNNNNNNNNNNNNNNNNNNNNNNNNNNNNNNNNNNNNNNNNNNNNNNNNNNNNNNNNNNNNNNNNNNNNNNNNNNNNNNNNNNNNNNNNNNNNNNUUUUUUACGAUGCAAAGUGCAAAAACUACAUUACUGUAUUCCUAGGAAAGAAUUGAAGGAUGGGUUGAGAUUUUUUAAUGACGAUAAUGGUAUUAAGGAUAUCAUUUACCAUUAUUUUCAUGGUGAAGAAGCUAAAGUAUAUGUUGAGUAUUAUAGUGAGGAUGAGGAUGAGGAUGAGGAUGGGGAUGAGCAGACCACCACUGAAGGAGGAGAAAUGAGGGAUCAUGUUCAAGCGAGUAAUCAGGUUGGGGAUGAGUUUAGGUUAGAUGGAGGGCAAAAUGAGAGGGAGAUAAGUCAUAUUGAUAGAGAUGAACAAAGAGAGAGAUGUCCUGAAAUCUUGGGUGAAGAUGUGGGUGAUGAAGACUUCAUUGGAUUAGAAUGAGAAAUUGCUUUAUCUAGUAAAUCGAAAGAUGAAUGUUUGGCUUUAGUAAAUUUCCCAAGUGAUGAAGAUGAUGAUGAACUUGCACAGUCAAGACAAAAGCAAAGGGAAUUUUUAAGAAAAAAACUUGCAGCUUCAAUAAAAAGGCCCAAGCCAGUAAAUAGGGAUGGAGAUCUAGCUGAGAGUAAUAGAAGUGAAGAUGAAGAAAGUUGUGGCGAUGAAGUUGCUGGUUCGGAAAAUGAGCUUGACAAUGAUGAUGAACUUGCUCCUCAAAGAAAAAGUAAGUACCAUUGCUAUGAUCCGACUAUUGAUAAACAUGUUUUGUCGGUGGGCAUGAGAUUUGACGAUGUCAAACAAUUCAAGGAAGCUAUUAUGAAGAACUCAAUUGGUGAACAGAGGAGCGUUAAAUUCAUUAGAAACACGAAGGAGUUUGUGAGAGCUAAGUGCUCACAACCUAAUUGUUCGUGAAAGCUCUAUGCCGCGCUUAGUAAGAAUGGGUCAUUCCAUAUUAGGUCCUUUCAGAAUGAGCAUACUUGUCCAAUUAUCUUUAACAAUAAAAGGGUAACAAGUGUGUGAUUAUCAAAGCAUUUUUUCAAUACUAUCAAAGUAAUGCCCGAGAUCAAGAGUCCUCAAUUUCAACAAUUAGUGAAUGAGCAAGUGGGGGUUAAUGUGUCGAGGAAUCAAUGUAAGAGAGCAAAGAUAAGGGUGAUGAAGAUAUUGAUGGGUGGGUAUAAGGAAGAAUAUGCGCAGGUAUGGGAUUAUGCUGGUGAAUGUAUGUUUCAAAACCCAUCUAGUAUGGUAUAUAUAGAAGUUGUGGAGAGGCCACUCCCUGAUCUUGAGCCUAGAUUUGAUAGAUUUUAUGUUUGUUUUGAUGCAUGCAAACGGGGCUUCUUGGCUGGUUGUAGAAGAGUUAUAAGAUUGGAUGGAUGCUUUCUAAAGGGUUUAUGCAAUGGGGAGUUAUUGGUUGCUGUGGGGAGAGAUGUCAAUAAUCAAAUGUUCCCGAUAGUUUGGUUGGUAGUAAAGAUAGAGAACAAUGAUAUUUGGUCCUGGUUCCUAAAAAAUUUAAUUGCUGACCUUGAGAUAACCGAUGGGGAAGGAUGGGCAUUCAUGAGCGACCAACAGAAGGUAAUUUCAUUGUCGAUUAAUUCACUCCCUUUUAAUAUUAGUCACUUGCAUAUUUUUCUUGACUUGUAUUUAUUGGUUUGAAUUUUUGUAGAGACUUAUUCCUGCAUUGGCUGAAUUGAUGCCACAUGCUGAACAUAAAAUGUGUGCGAGGCACAUAUAUGCAAACUGGUCAAGGAACUUCAAAGAAGAUAGGCUGCAGAAGCAGUUCUAGCAGAUAGCAAAGAGUACGAAUAUGGCCGAUUUCAUAUUAGCCAAACAAGAAUUGUUGCAGCUGACAAAGGAAGGUUUUGAUGCACUCUUCCAAACAGAAGCUAAGCACUGGUGUCGGGCCUUCUUUAGCGAAGAGUUCAAAUGCGAUAUCAUUAAUAACAAUCUCAGUGAAGCUUUUAAUGGUAGAAUUUUAGAGGCCAGGUGUAAACCAAUCAUCGGCAUGCUUGAUAAUAUUCGAAUUAUGGUUAUGACUAGACUGCAUAGGCAAAAAGAUGAGGCUACAAAAUGGAGUAGAGACUGUGGCCCUAGGAUUGUGAAGAAAUUGGAUGCAAAUAUUGCUGCUAGUAGGUUCUGCCAUCCAGUUUGGAAUGGAGAUAAUGGAUAUGAGAUUAUUCAAAAUCAGGAUAAGUAUGUUGUCAACCUGGAUAGAAGAAAGUGUUCAUGCUGAGCUUGGCAACUAAAUGGAAUUCCUUGUGCCCAUGCCAUUUGUGCUAUUCAGAUGAAAUAAGAAAAUCCAGAUGAUUACCUACAUGAUUAGUACAAAAGAAAAAAAAACUCAUACCUUGCUUCAUACCAAUUCAUGAUGCAGCCUAUCAAAAGCAGCAAAUUUUGGGAGCCAACAAAUCAUGAAAGCCCUCUACCUUUACCGCUGAAGAAGCAAAUAGGAAGGCCAAAAAAGAGACGAAGAAUGCAGCAGGAAGAGGCAUCAAGUCAAAGGAUGAGUAGGACUGGAUCAAAGAUGAAAUGCUCCUAUUGCCGCAAGGAAUGGCACAAUAAGAAAGGUUGUGAGCUGAAAAAGCAGCAUCAACAGCAAGAUGUAAUGGCUGAUUUAGUGCCAGGGAUAGGACCUACUGAAGAGUUUCUUGUUGGGCCUAUUGAAGGGAGGACAGAAGGCCCUGCUGUAAUGCCUACUGAAAGGCAAACAGAAAGCCAUGCUAUAAGGUAAGUAUCAUCUUUGUCUUAGUAACUUUACAGUUUUUAUUCGAUAGUGAUGUUGGUCAUAAUCCUAAUAUAGAACAUUGUUGUAAGGUCUAAGAAAGGGCCAGAAAAAGGCCCUGUUGUAGGCUCAAGUGCGGGAAUAGGGACUGGAAUGGGCAGGACAGCAAGAACAACAACUCAGUCCAUUAUUGAGCAAACAAGAAAAAAAUAUCCUGUAAGUUGUACAUCGCUAUGUUUGGUCUUUUAUGAGCUAAAAUUUACAUUUGUUAUGUGUUUCUCAUGUGAGAAGACGAGCAACUGUACAAGUUGCAGAGGUUGCUACAAGGAUUAUUGUUGCUGAAAAUGAUGCACCACAGCGAACAACAGGGGCUCUUGGAAAAAGAUUAAGGCAAUAUGGUUAUGGGAUUUACACAGAUGAACGUACUUGAAUGACUAUUUUGAAUGUAAGAUUUAUAGGCCUCAUGCAUUUAAUUUGUUAUACUUCAAUUCAUUCGAUGACAAUAUCACUAUGUUCUUGUAGCCUAAGAAAACUUCAGAGGUACUUCUCUCUCAAGGUGGGCCAACUCAAGAAUCAAUGGUGCAGCCAAAGAAGAGUGCUCCAAAGAAGAAGAAGACAGCAAGUAUAGUUGUGAAACAGUCAUCCAAAAAGAACUCAGCAUCAGUUCCAUCUCAACCAACGAUUAGGAGCAGUAGUGAUAAUAUGGACCAACACAUGACACAUGCUAGAACAAAAAUAGCCGCCGUCAAAAACAAGGAAAAGGAAAAUGAGGUGACAGAAAGCCCAGCUAAAGAACCUGCACAUGCAGUUCGAAAGAGUGCCCGGAUUAUGAAUCAAUUCAAAGCUCCAAGAGGAAAAGGAGAUCAAGAUGUUAUCAAUAUUAACUUAUGGGAGGGUGCUGGACAUGGUCUCUUUUUAUGUGAUGCUGGACAUGGUUUUUUUUUCAUGUUUUCCUUUUUUAGGAGUGUGCUGGAUAUUAUAUCAAUGAUGGUAGUUGUUGCCUGCAAUGCCAUUAUUAUUUUUUUUAAGAGAGUGUUGAACUUUCGAUGAUUGUGGAGUAAAGUUAGACAUGCUUUUCUUUUCUUUUGUAAACAAUCAAUCAAUGUUAAUGGCAAGUACUAGAAUGACUAUUCAUUUUCUCUUGUGUUGGUUUCGGCUAGAAUGCUAGCAAGUCAGUUAUGAUGCUGUAUAUUUUAUUUUUAAUGUUACUGCAAUGUUGCUAUUGCUACAAUGUUGCUGUUGCUGCACUGUUGCUGUCAGCAAAAACUAACCAAAACAAACAUUGACAAUACACAACUAAACAACAAAAUUUUUAAGUGCUCACAACUAAUGCAUUCCAAGUCCAACCUUGCAUUUCUACCCAUAGAUUACAACAACAAAACAUUCUGCUCCAUACAAAAAUUGCAGCAAACCAAAAAACACAUUUUACUUAUAAAUAAUCCAAUACAAGUGCAUAUUACACGUCUUCGAUUAUGGUAGACAUACAAACUUCUUCUUAUUACUCACUUUACAUUUGAAUAAACUACCCAAGAGAAUAAGAACACAAUCAACGCUCGAUAAAAGUUUCUUUCAAUUUUCAGCCUUGAAACUUCCCUCUUCAAAUGGUCUACCAGAGAUGUUAAACCCUUCAUUUGAGCUUGCAUUGAGUCGACAUCCUCCAACUCGUCUAUUAACAUAGGUGGAGGUUGAUUUCGGCCUUCAAGUAACUCCAAUAUCACCUCUGUCGCUCGAUCAGAGAAUUUCCUAUCAACCCAUUUGAAAUACUGGCACUUCGAGCCUUCUCUAUAUCUGUCGCACCCAUGGAAUCUUCUCUCGGGAUUCAACCGAGUCCAAGAUGUUCUUCUCGGACUCAGUAACCCACAAUAAUAAUAAUACUCACCAUCUAAUUCGCUUUUCUUAUAGGAAUGUGAGCCACUACUGAAGCUUUUGUCCUCCAUUUGCAAGAGCGAGCUAAUAACUUUGGGAGAAAAUCGAAUAAUGCACUCGAAAUGAUCGAAUUGGGGAUUUAGGGUUUUCAACUUCCGAUUCUAAUCGAAAUUGGGGAUUUAGGGUUUCUUAUUUGGGGGAAAACGGUAAACAGCAUCGUUUUGUUCUUUGUAUGCUAAUUGUAUUUUCCGGCAAUCCACGUCGGCGUCAAAAAUUAAUAAAAAACUGCCACGUCGGAUUUCCGGCCAACCAAAUCAGCAAAGGCACCAAAGUGAUCAUUUUUCAAAAAAUUUGGCACUUAAGUAAUCCGACGGAAACUUUUGACACUAAAGUGAGCGUCGUACACAACUUAUGGCACCAUUAGUGUACUUAUCCCUAUUUUAUUGCAUUUUCCCUCAUAAGUUUACGACAAUAUUAAUUUAGUCAAGAAAUUUAAACAUUGAUAGGUUCAGGCUUCAGUAUAAUAAUAUUAGGACAGAUUGUGCAAUUAUCCUCAAAUAUGACAAUUCAAUAUUUUCAACCCCAUGCUCACACUCAACUCAAUGCAAUAUAUAUACUCACAUCAAACUCGAUUCAACUCUAACAUUAAAAACUAAAUUACAGUGUAAACCUUCUAACUCCAUCUCAAGUUCUCAUAAAAAAAAUUCAAAAAUAAUGAUUAUUUUCAAAUGUCCUUAGUAAAAAUCUUUAAAUUAUUAACAGGAUUGCAAGUCACGUGAUUGUAGUAUUACGAAAUUUGACACCUCCAACAAUGGCAACCCAUACUGUUAGUUUCAAAUUCAUGAAAGAGGGGGCGAAGUGCUUUUAUAUAUAUUGAUCUUUCUAGAACCAGCCCCUUAUUUAUUUUUUUUAUACGCAAUUAAACUGGUAAUUUGUAAAAAGGAACUUAUAGAAUUUAGGGAAAGAGAAAUUGCAAAAACUCUUUAUAGAGUUUCAAUUAGGAUAUGCCUUCUCUUCCUUCUAGCCAUAGCAGCCCAGUCGGGUUGAAAUCCACUACUUGAGCCAAUAGUGCAAAUGCCAAGAACUUUUGUACCGCGUGGACUCCACUCCUUCGAUAGCUAUGUCACUAUAGACUAAAUAACUAUUAGAUCUCUUUCAACAGCUAUUCUCGCACCUUGUGCACACGGUAUGGUAGACAUAUUUUCCCAAAAUUAUCAACCACACUUCUUAGUGUUUACAAGUAAUUAUUCACACACUUCGUCUCUUACCUAAACAAUUGUAUUCUCUCUAAGUACAAUCACUUCUUUCGUGUGUAUACAAAUGAUUUCGGCACCCGCUAACUUUUAGGAUCAAAACUCAAUUGACUACAAACGCUCAAUGUGCUUUGAUUUUUCUUGUUGCAAGAGCACUCGAUGACAAGCUACGUUUUACUUGUGGUUUGUCCUUCUAGGCCUCCAAUAAAAACUCUCAUGUUUCAAGUGUUCAAUUCAAGUUGAUUGUAGAAUGAGUUUCACUUCAUCACGCAAAAAAGAGACGUUAGAAGGGAUAUCUAGAAAUAAUUAGCAAAUGGAAAAAUUAGAAUGAUAAAGAGAGCGAGCAGAAGUUGGUAAGUUUACAAAUUUACUACAAUGUUGUGAGAUCAUUAUGGCAUUUGCAAUUUAUAUACGAAGAUUGUAAAAUUUCUGAAGAGUUGGUUAUUCACUAAUUCAUUUCGAAGCCGACAAAUUUCUAAUGGUACUGUUAAGUUGUUGAUAGGUUAUUUGGCAAUAAAAUUGAUGGUCAUGUUUUUCUUUUAUCGACUGCAAUAAAAUUGUGGGACUCAGCUAACAUCAAUAAAUAGAAGAAAGAAAAGUCAAAAAAGCAAAAAGGAAUAGAGAGAGAGGCUCCUUGUUCGUAAGAUCAAGAAAGACGAGUCGAUUGACUUUAUUUAUUCAAAACCUUCUCCAAAUUACCUCUCGUUUCUCUUAUUAUAAUCAGGAUUUCUUGCUUCACUUAUGUUAAUUUACUUUUAUGAUGAUAGAACCUUUGUGUAUAGUGAAAGUUUUUGGACUGUUUGUGAUUUUUUUAGCAUAGAAUUUUAUGUGUAAAAAUUGCUUGUCUUUUUUUAAUUAUUUUGGCAUUAUAUUAACUCAUUACAAGAUUGUACUGUAGGAAUAUAUUGCCAGUUAUUAUUGAAAUUGAGUCGAUUUUGGUCACAUUUAAUCUUGGGAGGAGAAAUUAAUUCUGAAUUAGGUUAAUUUUUGAUGAAUUGUUGCCGGUUCACUCCAACUAUGUAUCAAUAAUUUUGGAAAUCCAUCAAGAAAGGGAAAAUUUCCGCACUUUCCUUUGACUGACCCUGCACUCAAUGCCGAAAGCUUGCGUCAGCCGCACCUUUGAUUUUUGGUCUCAUCGACCAAGAGCAUUUGAUUUGAUGGUCUUCGUCGUUGUGAAAAAAAUAUGAUUACUGUCCCAAUCGCGUCCUGAUCGGCAUCUUUGAUUUAUGGUCUUCGUCGUCAUGAAAAAAUAUGAUUUCUAUCCCAAUCGCGUCCUCAUCGGACUCUUCGAUUUUUUUUUUUUGUCUCACCGGCCAAUAGCAUUUGAUUUUAUGGUCUCCAUCGCCGUGAAAAAAAUAUGAUUUCUGUCCCAAUCGAGUCCUCAUCGGCACCUUUGAUUCUUUUUAUCUCAUCGGCCAAUAGUAUUUGAUUUUAUGGCCUUCGUCGUCGUGAAAAAAAUAUGAUUUCUGCCCCAAUCGUGUCAUCAUCGGCCCAUGACAUCUUUUACUUGCUUUUCCCAGAACCACUCCAUUGUUGCCUCGAACGUGUUGACGCAGCUACGUUCCACGACUUUUAGCCAUUUCGUAUUGACCUAUCAAAGGGAUGAUCCAGUCAAAAAUGUUGUCCAGCAAAUUCCUUGUUCUCCCCCACUUUUUUAAGUUGAUAAUUUUUUGCUCAAAUGAAAAUCCUAAUUAGCUACUCCGAUCAAAUAUUGAUAUUUCCCUCUCCUCUUUCAAUAUAGUCCAAUUCAGUCGAUAGCAAAGAGAAAAGAGGGCAUGUCUCGAUAACAAUUAUAGAGCGCUUCUGUCCGUACCAUGUUUAGAGAUCAUUAGCAAAUGAAAUAUCUAACAUAAUAAGGAGAGCGAGUAGAUUGGUAUCAACUUCAAUUGAACACUGCAAUUUGGUACCAUCGUGUGCAAAUUUGAGUUCAGAAAAGGUCCACUCAGAACAGUUCAAGUUCAAGUUAAAGAGAUCUUUUUGAGAUCUUUUUCUUUAUUUGUUUAUUAAAGUUAAACAGAACAAGCCGGCUAUGUUGGGCGUGGAAUACGCGUUUCCAAAUAUCAAUUCCUCCCUUCCCUCUCCCUCGACAGACAUUUUUUUUCAUCGCAUCUACAAAUUCCACAGUAACACACUCCUCAUUAUCGUCAGUCAAUUUCAUCUAUUUUCAUAAAAUUUUAAGAAUUCGAAUGGUAUGUUCACCAAGCAAUUUUGGUCUUUUGUUUACUUCGAUUCUCAUGGACUAAUAGCAUUUGAUUUUAUGGUCUUCGUAGUAAAAUACUAUGACUUUCUGAUUCAACCAUGUUCUCGCAGACCCAUGGCAUUUAAAGUGGUUUUCUUAUAACCACUCCAUUACUUUGUUAAGAACAUCCAGUCAGAGAGAGAGAAAGAGAGAGAUCCACCAAGCAGAGCAAGCUACUGCUAUGGUGAGCUCAGACGAAAGAACGUCAUGGGGAGCAAAUACCAAGUAUUUCUAAGCUUUAGAGAACUCGACAUUAGACUCAGUGACUUCCUCUACCAUAGCUUAACUUAUGUUGGGAAUCUGUGCCUUUGGAGAUCGAAGAGCUACGUGUUGGUGAAAGGAUUGACGGAUUGCUUCAACGAGUGAUCAAUGACUCCAAGAUCUACAUAACCAUCUUCGUUCGAACUUAUGUUUCAAGCCCAUGUGUUUUCGCGAGCACACGCAGAUUGUAGAAUAAUCCAAAUCAAAAGGCAAUAAAGCGGUAUUUCACCCGCAACAAGGCCCAAGUGAGGCUAGCCUCACCCAAAUCUAGGAGAAGCCACCUUGCUCGUGACCCUCGCCAACCACUACAAGGAAUCCAAUGAGGAAGAAGAGGAAAAAGAAAAGAAAAAAGGAAAGAUUAAUUAAAAAUUUAGAAAAAAUAAAAAUAAAAAUUGUCAUGUCAAUGUUAGUCAAACAAUCGACGUCCACACUAGUCGAUCAAAAUUAAUCGGAUGAACUGAAUUGAUAUCAAUGUAAAAAAAUUUAUGAUUGAAUUAAUUUAAUUAGAAUAUUUAUAAUUGAAUUAAUAUCAAUACUAUAGAUUUAGGGCUUUAUUGAUCAUUUUUCAUAGCUAUCCCAUCAACAAACAAACAAACGGAGAAAAUUAUGGAGAUGCAGGUGCCUUGAGCGCCAGCCAACAGAAGCACGUGAUCAUCAUCUUUUAACAAGAAAAUGAAUGAUUGGAUAGCCUCGUUGAUAACAAGGAAGUGACAAGUGGUAAUUCCACUAGGGCAUCUACUUUCGGAAAAGGAUGGAUUCCCCCUUCUUCUUCUUCUUUUCUGACGGCCCAGGAACCUUGUACAGCCGACAGCCGGCCGAGCAAACCUAGGGUGACACUAGUGAAGGACCCACCACCCUAGCGCCACACUUAACACCCCAAAGGCAUACGCUGGGUUUCGAAUCCUUCCGUCCUGGGCAGACUUCGCGAAGGCUCUUAUCCAGCGUAACCACCACAAGCGGUGGUCCCCUUUUUUCUUUUGUACAUUAGCUUACGGUAAAGCGCCAAUGAGAGCAUUAAAUUCCAAAAAAAGAAAAAAGGCCUAUACACUUAUGUCUUUGGUCGGUGCUUAAAUCAUGUCACGGUGUUGUCGUUAUACUUAGACAAUCGAAAAUGAUUGAAGUGCCAUAUUAGAUAAAUUCGACGGGACUUAGCUGAAAUCUUUUAUUGCAUUAUUUCUGAUAAGUUUAAGAUUACAUUGAUACAAUUAAAGAGUUUAUACCUUCGUAGUUUCAAAUUUCGUUAAAACAAUUUUGAACUUUCCAACACUCCAUUACUUUGUUAAUGGAGCAAAUACCAAUUGUUUCUAAGCUUUAGAGGACCCGACACUCGCAUUAGACACAGUGACUUCCUCUACCAUAGCUUAACUUAUGUUGGGAUCUAUGUCUUUCGAGAUCGAAAAGCUACGUGUCGGUGAAAGGAUUGACGGAUUGCUUCAACGAGCGAUCGACGACUCCAAGAUCUACACACCUAUCUUCUUUCGAACUUAUGUUUCAAGCCCAUGUGCUUUUGUGAGCUCAUGCAUAUUGUAGAAUAAUCCAAAUCAAAAGGCAAUAAAGCGGUCCUUCACCCACGACAAGGCCCAAGUGAGGCUAGCCUCGCCCGAAUCUGGGAGAAGCCACCUUGCUCGUGACCCUCGCUAGCCUCUACAAGGAAUCCAAUGAGGAAGAAGAGGAAAAAGAAAAGAAAAAGGAAAGAUUAAUUAAAAAAUUAGAAAAAUUAAAAAUAAAAAUAAAAAUUGUCGUGCCAACAUUAGUCAAACGGUCGACGUCCACAUUAGUGCCGGCCGAUAAAAUUAAUCGGAUGAAUUGAAUUGUUAUCAAUGUAAAAAAAUUUAUGAUUGAAUUAAUUUAAUUAAAAUAUUUAUAAUUGAAUUAAUAUCAAUACUAUAUAUUUAGGGCUUUAUUGAUCAUUUUUCAUAGCUAUCGCACCAACAAACAAACAAACGGAGAAAAUUAUGGAGAUGCAAGUGCCCUGAGCGCCGGCCGACAGAAGCACGUGAUCAUCAUCUUUUAACGAGAAAAUGAAUGAUUGGAUAGCCUCAUUGAUGACAUGGAAGUGAUAGGCGGUAAUUCCACUAGGGCAUCUACUUUCGGAAAAGGAUGGAUUCUCCCUCUUUUUUUUCUUUUGUACGUUGGCUUACGGUAAAGCGCCAGUGAGAACAUUAAAUUCCAAAAAAAGAAAAAAGGCCUAUUCACUUAUGUCUUUGGUCGGUGCUUAAAUCAUGUCACGGUGUUGUCGUUAGACUUAGACAAUCGAAAAUGACUGAAGUGCCAUAUUAGAUAAAUUCAACGGGACUUCGCUGAAAUCUUUUAUUGCAUUAUUUCUGAUCAGUUUAAGAUUACAUUGAUACAAUUAAAGAGUUUAUACCUUCGUAUUUUCAAAUUUCGUUAUAACAAUUUUGAACUUUCCAACACUCCAUUACUUUGUUAAUGGAGAAAAUACCAAUUGUUUCUAAGCUUUAGAGGACCCGACACUCGCAUUAGACACAGUGACUUCCUCUACCAUAGCUUAACUUAUGUUGGGAUCUAUGUCUUUCGAGAUCGAAAAGCUACGUGUCGGUGAAAGGAUUGACGGAUUCCUUCAACGAGCGAUCGACGACUCCAAGAUCUACACACCUAUCUUCUUUCGAACUUAUGUUUCAAGCCCAUGUCCUUUUGUGAGCUCGUGCAUAUUGUAGAAUAAUCCAAAUCAAAAGGCAAUAAAGCAGUCCUUCACCCGCGACAAGGCCCAAGUGAGGCUAGCCUCGCCCGAAUCUAGAGAAGCCNNNNNNNNNNNNNNNNNNNNNNNNNNNNNNNNNNNNNNNNNNNNNNNNNNNNNNNNNNNNNNNNNNNNNNNNNNNNNNNNNNNNNNNNNNNNNNNNNNNNUAAAAAUAAAAAUAAAAAUUGUCGUGCCAACAUUAGUCAAACGGUCGACGUCCACAUUAGUGCCGGCCGAUCAAAAUUAAUCGGAUGAAUUGAAUUGUUAUCAAUGUAAAAAAAUUUAUGAUUGAAUUAAUUUAAUUAAAAUAUUUAUAAUUGAAUUAAUAUCAAUACUAUAUAUUUAGGGCUUUAUUGAUCAUUUUUCAUAGCUAUCGCACCAACAAACAAACAAACGGACAAAAUUAUGGAGAUGCAAGUGCCCUGAGCGCCGGCCGACAGAAGCACGUGAUCAUCAUCUUUUAAUGAGAAAAUGAAUGAUUGGAUAGCCUCAUUGAUGACAUGGAAGUGAUAGGCGGUAAUUCCACUAGGGCAUCUACUUUCGGGAAAAGGAUGGAUUCUCCCUUUUUUUUCUUUUGUACGUUGGCUACGGUAAAGCGCCAGUGAGAGCAUUAAUUCCAAAAAAAGAAAAAGGCCUAUUGACUUAUGUCUUUGGUCGGUGCUUAAUCAUGUCACGGUGUAGUUCGUUAUACUUAGACAAUCGAAAAUGACUGAAGUGCCAUAUUAGAUAAAUUCGACGGGACUUAGCUGAAAUCUUUUAUUGCACUUUUUCUGAUAAGUUUAAGAUUACAUUGAUACAAUUAAAGAGUUUAUACCUUCGUAGUUUCAAAUUUCGUUAUAACAAUUUUGAACUUUCCAACACUCCAUUACUUUGUUAAUGGAGCAAAUACCAAUUGUUUCUAAGCUUUAGAGGACCCGACACUCGCAUUAGACACAGUGACUUCCUCUACCAUAGCUUAACUUAUGUUGGGAUCUAUGUCUUUCGAGAUCGAAAAGCUACGUGUCGGUGAAAGGAUUGACGGAUUGCUUCAACGAGCGAUCGACGACUCCAAGAUCUACACACCUAUCUUCUUUCGAACUUAUGUUUCAAAGCCCAUGUGCUUUUGUGAGCUCGUGCAUAUUGUAGAAUAAUCCAAAUCAAAAGGCAAUAAAGCGGUCCUUCACCCGCGACAAGGCCCAAGUGAGGCUAGCCUCGCCCGAAUCUGGGAGAAGCCACCUUGCUCGUGACCCUCGCCAGCCACUACAAGGAAUCCAAUGAGGAAGAAGUGGAAAAAGAAAAGAAAAAGGGAAGAUUAAUUAAAAAAUUGGAAAAAUUAAAAAUAAAAAUAAAAAUUGUCGUGCCAACGUUAGUCAAACGGUCGACGUCCACAUUAGUGCCGGCCGAUCAAAAUUAAUCGGAUGAAUUGAAUUGUUAUCAAUGUAAAAAAAUUUAUGAUUGAAUUAAUUUAAUUAAAAUAUUUAUAAUUGAAUUAAUAUCAAUACUAUAUAUUUAGGGCUUUAUUGAUCAUUUUUCAUAGCUAUCGCACCAACAAACAAACAAACGGACAAAAUUAUGGAGAUGCAAGUGCCCUGAGCGCUGGCCGACAGAAGCACGUGAUCAUCAUCUUUUAACGAGAAAAUGAAUGAUUGGAUAGCCUCAUUGAUGACAUGGAAGUGAUAGGCGGUAAUUCCACUAGGGCAUCUACUUUCGGAAAAGGAUGGAUUCUCCCUUUUUUUUCUUUUGUACAUUGGCGUACGGUAAAGCACCGGUGAGAGCAUUAAAUUCCAAAAAAAGAAAAAAGGCCUAUUGACUUAUGUCUUUGGUCGGUGCUUAAAUCAUGUUACUGUGUUGUCAUUAUACUUAGACAGCCAAAAAUGACUGAAGUGCCAUAUUAGAUCAAUUCGACAGGAGUUAGCAGAAAUCUUUUAUUGUAUUUUUUCUGAUAAGUUUAAGAUUACAUUGAUUCAAUUAAAGAGUUUAUACCUUCAUAGUUUCAAUCGUUAUAUCAAUUUUGAACUUUCCAACACUCCAUUACUUUGUUAAUGGAGAAAAUACCAAUUGUUUCUAAGCUUUAGAGGACCCAACACUCGCAUUAGACUCAAUGACUUCCUCUACCAUAGCUUAACUUAUGUUGGGAUCUAUGUCUUUCGAGAUCGAAAAGCUACGUGUCGGUGAAAGGAUUGACGGAUUGCUUCAACGAGCGAUCGACGACUCCAAGAUCUACACACCUAUCUUCUUUCGAACUUAUGUUUCAAGCCCAUGUGCUUUUGUGAGCUCGUGCAUAUUGUAGAAUAAUCCAAAUCAAAAGGCAAUAAAGCGGUCCUUCACCCGCGACAAGGCCCAAGUGAGGCUAGCCUCGCCCGAAUCUGGGAGAAGCCACCUUGCUCGUGACCCUCGCCAACCACUACAAGGAAUCCAAUGAGGAAGAAGAGGAAAAAGAAAAGAAAAAGGAAAGAUUAAUUAAAAAAUUAGAAACAUUAAAAAUAAAAAUUGUCGUGCCAACAUUAGUCAAACGGUCGACGUCCACAUUAGUGCCGGCCGAUCAAAAUUAAUCGGAUGAAUUGAAUUGUUAUCAAUGUAAAAAAAAUUAUGAUUGAAUUAAUUUAAUUAAAAUAUUUACAAUUGAAUUAAUAUCAAUACUAUAUAUUUAGGGCUUUAUUGAUCAUUUUUCAUAGCUAUCGCAUCAACAAACAAACAAACGGAGAAAAUUAUGGAGAUGCAAGUGCCUUGAGCGCCGGCCGACAGAAGCACGUGAUCAUCAUCUUUUAACGAGAAAAUGAAUGAUUGGAUAGCCUCAUUGAUGACAUGGAAGUGAUAGGCAGUAAUUCCACUAGGGCAUCUACUUUCGGAAAAGGAUGGAUUCUCCCUUUUUUUCUUUUGUACGUGGGCUUACGGUAAAGCGCCAGUGAGAGCAUUAAAUUCCAAAAAAAGAAAAAAGGCCUAUUGACUUUAUGUCUUUGGUCGGUGCUUAAAUCAUGUUACUGUGUUGUCGUUAUACUUAGACAACCGAAAAUGACUGAAGUGCCAUAUUAGAUCAAUUCGACAGGACUUAGCAGAAAUCUUUUAUUGUAUUUUUUCUGAUAAGUUUAAGAUUACAUUGAUUCAAUUAAAGAGUUUAUACCUUCAUAGUUUCAAUCGUUAUAACAAUUUUAGGAUAGAUUGUGUAAUUAUCUUGAAGGCAUGACAAUUUAGGUUUUUCAAUCCCAUGAUCGUGCUCAACUCAAUACAAUAUAUAUGCUUGCAUUAGACUUGAUUCAACUCUAAUGGCAAAAACUAAAUUACAGUGUAAAGCUUUACAAUCCAUCUCUAUUUCUGAUAAAAAAAAUUCAAAAUAAUGAUUUUUUUCUUCUUUUUUUUUUUGGUAAGUAUGAUUUUUUUUCUUUUGUCCUUAGUAAAAUCCUUUAAAUUAUUGACAAGGCUUGCAAGUCACAUGACUAUGGUAUUACAAAAUUUGACACCUUUGGCACGCACUCCAUAUCACUAGGUCCAAAUAUAUAAAAGAGGAAGUGAAGUGCUUUUUUAUGUAUGUAAAAAUAUCGAUCUUUCUAGAACCGGCCCUUUAUUUAAAAGUUGUUUUUCAUAUACAAUUAAACUGAUAUUUGUAACAAGAAACUUAUAGAGCUUAAAGUUUUCAAUUAGGAUAUGCCUUCUCUUUUAGCUCCAGCAGCCCAAUCAGGUUGAAAUCCACUACUUGAGCCAACAUUGCAAAUGCCAAGAACUUUGUAUAGUGCGAUUCUUUCUAUGAUUAUCUCACUAUAGACUAAAUAAUUAUUAGAUCUCUUCCAAUAGCCAUUCUUACACCUUGUGCACAUAGCGCAGUAGACACAUGUUCCCCAAAAUUAUUAACCACGCUUCCAAGUGUUUACAAAUAAUCAUUCGCAUAGUUUGUCUCUCACCUAGACAAUUGCAUUCUCUCUUUGUACAAUCACUUCUUCCAUGUGUAUACAAAUAUUUUUGGCACCAUUGCUAGCUUUUAGGAUCAAUACUUAGUAAAGAGAUAGAUCUCAAGAACGCUUGAUGUGCUUCAAUUUUUCUUGUUGCAGGCACUUGAUGGCAAGCUCCGUUUAACUUGUGGUUUGUCCUUAUAGGCCUCCAUAAACAACUCUGUGAUUCAACUGUUUCCUCACCGUCCCAUAUCAUUUGAUUGUUUUACUCGUAUAACCACUACUUUUUUUUUCAUGACGUGUUGUCGCGACCACCUUCUACAACUCUCAACCAUUUCAUAUUCACAUAUCAAAGAAAUGACCUGCUCAGAAACUUUAUUUAGAAAAAAUCCUAACUAUUAAACCGCAUCACUGACCUCCCUCCUCUUUUUCUUUAAGGUAGCAAUUUUACGUUCAUAUGAAAUAUCCUAAUUAACUACUCCUGGUCAAACAUUCCUAUUUGGCUCCUUUGUUUCAACCAUCCGAUUUGAGUUGAAACGCAGAAUGCGUUUCAUUUUCAUCACAUGAAAAAGGAACUUUAAGAAAGAGUAGUUAGAGAUCAUCAGCAAAUGAAAAAAAAAUCGAAAUGAUAAGGAGAGGGAGUAGAAAUUGGAGCUUACAAAUUCAGUACAAUGCUGCGAGACCUACUAUACUGUUGGCAAUUUAUUUGCCAUACUUGUAAAAUUUCAGAGAAUGUGGUUAUUCACUAUUUCAUUUCAAAGUCGGUAAAUUUCCAAUGGUGUCGUUAAGUUUGAUAAGUCAUCUAACAAUCAAAUUGACGGUCAUGCUUUCUUUUAGGGAUUGUACUGGAUAUUUUGGUUGGCCGGGUCCGCCUCUGUGGGGACCAGCUAACAUUAAUAAAAAAAGAGAAAAAAGGUGAAAAAGUCAAAGCAAAAAAGAAGAAAAGAAAGAUGGGCGGCUCGUGCGCGGAGUACAGGAGAGAGGACAGAGAGAGGGCACGCGGAGAAGAUAGAAACCAUGUAGUUGACAUUUGAUUAACUGAAGAGAGAUUUGGUGUUUCAGUUUACUUAUUGUUAUCGGACCAAUGAAGAUGUCAUUGACAGAUAAAGAUGCAUUCAGCUUGAUCUCUUUCAUUUUAUUACCCAAUUGUGUUUUCUCGUUUUUCUCUUCUUUUUCUACUCCUUUUUCAACUUUUUCUUUCCUUUCCUUCCAUGAGAAAGUUCCAAAAGUUUGGAUAAGCUAGGGGACAAGGUCAGGUGGUAUCAAAAUAAGUGGAAGAGCCUCAGUAAUCCAGAAGAAAUGUCAUCGUUCAGUUUGUUAUUAUUUAAAAAAGUUCUUUUCAAUGUUUCAUGCGUUGCAAAUAAUUUGCUCAUCAUAUGUAAAGGAUGUAGUCUUAGAGCAUAGGUCACGUGGUCCACCAAGUUAACUGGGGUGGAGUAGAGUUAUUUUCUUCUACUCAUUUAACUCGUUACAUAGGAUUUCUCUCUCUCUCUCUCUAUUUUUAUUUUUGAUAACUCAUACCAUACUUUUACUCAAUCAUCUAUGAUAUACAUGAAAACUUACUAGUUGAAUCUCGAUAAGUACCAAUAUAGAAGGUUUUGAGGUUGUGAUCUAUAAAAUUUGACCUGAUGAGACGUCUGUAGGCAUGUACAAUUUUGAAUAGAAGAGAAAUAGCAGGUCAAUAAACAACAAAAAGGAAAAGAGGAGAGGGAAGGCUUUGUCUACUUGAUGUCACUAGAAAAUUUUAAUUGGAUGAUUUGUAGUCAAUAGGACGAGGCUUUGUGAACCUGAAACGUGUUUUCAUGAGUAAUUCAUUGAAAAACCAUACCUUCUGCAAAGCAUGGCCAUCCAACCUAGUGUUUGAUGGGUAGGGUGGUUAUUUAGUUUAGCAUUGUCUAGGCCUGGUACUUUUUCGAUACUAUGACAUUGUUUCUCAUUUUCUUUUCCUUUUUCUUUUAUUGUGUCAUGAGGAAGAUUAUAUUUUAAAUGGAUGUCAGACCCAUAAAAUAUCCUAUUAACCUCAUGUACCUAGUGAGGUUUGAGCUAAAACUCGGUUUGUUGGUACCAACAUGAAUUGUUUGCAGUGGUUAGUGAGGAAAACCGAACUUAUGUUGUGCAUGUUACCCCCACACAUUUUUCUAUUCCUUAAGAUUUUCUAUUCUAAAAAAAACAAUGGAAAUCUAAUUGGUGGAUGAUCUAUUUGUACAUCCUCCCUACUUUUGGGCAGUUUGAAAGUCACUUAAAAUAGGAAUUAAAGUAGUCGAUCACUCCAGAAUUUAUUUUUCAAUCGUGAAGAUUUUAUUUCAGGUAGAGUGUAAAGUCAAUUUCUGCCACUCUUUUGAAUUUUGAUUCGUAGGUUGACUCUUGGCUUUAACUUCCACAAUAAUUUAGCCGAUUGUAUGCUUGAAAAGUUCUUAAUUUCGCUGGAUUGGGAACAGAUUAGUUUUCAUCAAAAUUGUGAAAUACCUAUGAAACAUAUUGUUUCAUUAUCCUUCUUGUAUAACUAUGCUAAAUAGAAAGGGGAAAAGGAAGAGGGAAGGCUUAUCUAUUGAUUUAUAACUAGCCUUGGUCAAUUUCUGGUAAUAACAUGUUUAUCUAUCUUGGAAGCUUUUAUCUAAGGCAGAUUAGGCACCAAGCACGUAGAAUAUCUUAUUUAUCUCAUGUAGCAGGUAUGGUAUGAGUUAAUGACAAGGGGGAUGUUGCUUCGAUAUGAAAAUGUUUGCAUUUGGUGAUGUGAGAAAUUCCCACGAGAUUUAUAUUUUUAUAUGAUACUGGUUCCUUUUAUAUAUAGAUCAUUUAUCGUAUUUCCAUCUCAACAAACGCAGUUGGACCUAUAUAUUUGACUUUCAUAAGUAUCUUUCGAGAAAUUUAGAAGAGCCUCUAUCUGUGUUCUUGCACAUAGUAUUCAUUGACAGAGAUUAAACACAACUGGUUGGUUUGAUUGCAUAAUUUUAUCAUCUUAUUCCUUUUUUCAAACUUUCUUGCAAGAUUGAUUGCAGUUUUAUUUUUCAGGAGUCGUGCUUCGAUUGGAUAUGUUCAUGAUUCGGAGGAGGCUUGUGAAAUUGUGAAGACGACUCGCAUCAUACUUGUCAACAUGUAGGGAUGGAACUAUCAUACAUUUUUAGUGGGUCAAUGCCCUAAAGACAGUAAGAUAAGGUAUUUCAUUUAACAAAAAAAGUAUAAAGAUGCGAUCGAGCUAUUUAUUGAUUUGAAGUAGUUUUUCUACGCAAAGUCUGACUUGAAAUCAACGCUUUGACAUUGAAUCGUGAAUGUGAACAAAAUUCGGUUUCAAAUCCCUAUGCUCAAGCUCAACUCAAUAUAGUAUAUACGGCUCGAAAUCGAACUCGAUUCAACUCCAUUAUUAAAAGCUCAAUUCUACUCAUUUAACUUGUUACGUAAGAUGUUUCUUUCUAUUUUUCCUAAUCAUAUACUAUACCUUCUGCAUAGCCUGGUCAUGCCAUUCGAUUGCUUUAUCUUCCGACUCUAUCAAGCCUCGUGUUUGAUUGGUGGUGUGGUCGUCUAGUAGUGCAAUGUCUAAGCCCGAUAAUUUUUUUAUAAUUGUUUAUCUUUUUACUUUUCUGUUUUUUGCGUCAUAAAGAAGUUUAUAGUACAUGGGAAAGACAAAAUACUGAUUUUGAUUUCUUGCAAGUUAGCGCAUGGUCCCUUAGAGGGCAACAAGGCUAAGCCUAAUUACAUCGAUGAACAAUGGAAGUUACUAAGAAGGCAAUGUGGGGUUUCAUUAGGCGUCAUCAGUUGGAUUUUAUUUCUUUAGAUAAACCAUAAGGAUCCCAUCCCACUGCUCCUUUUGCUCUUCCAAUUUCCAUCUUUUGGCAAUGGAAAACAGUAGCCACAACAAAACCGAUAUAAAUUAAGGAAUCGUUAGCUAGAUCCUAUGAGAAACAAUUGAUGUCGUCUCAUCCAUUGAUCGUCAAACUCUCAAGAUUAUAUGUCACAAUCGCACUUCCAUUCACUCACGGAACACUUCCUGGAUAUGUCCUUCCUCGGCACUUCAUUUCGAGUUGGGAUUAAUAGUUCCCCAGUACAGAUUGGAGUACGAAGCCCACCCAAAAAAUCAAAUAAAAUAAUCCGUUCUAUUUUGCCAGUAUCACUAGCUAACUUAGUUCCGAUGACUCUCUUCAGAAUAUGAGGCAAUAAUAGAGCAAAUAUGUCAAACGGUUCUCCACCAAGAGCAAGGACUCUUUUAUUAUGUUGGAUUGAUUGGUCGAUUUACGACAUUUUGUAUAGAAAUUACGAAAAAAUGCAAAUAAUUAUAAUUCGUUAUAAUUCAAAAAUUUAUUUAUUGAUGACCAUAAAACUGCUCAUGUAUUAUAAGAAGAAAUUCGAAAAAGCCUCUAACACAAAAGUUAUUCAUUGCAUCGAAUCUCCAACAUUGUAUAGUAGAUUAGACGAUCUAUCACCAUGCAUUAUUCAAGUUUCACACUCAAACAUAAAUACAAGCUUCUAAAUUCAUAAGCAUUCAAUAAGAUAAGAAAGACUAUUGUAAUUUAUGUCUCAUUUAUUGUCUAGAUUAGACAAGCCGGUACUCUUCCAUGCUUGCACUUCUCACCCCACUGUAGCCAUUGCCACCCCAACACUUCUGCCGCCGCCUCCGCCGCUGCCUUUGCCUCCGCCGCCGCCGCCUCCCUCGCCGCCUUUGCCUCCGCCGCCGCCUUUGCCGCUUCCUCCCCCGCCGCCUUUGCCUCUGCCGCCGCCUCCACCGCUUCCUCCCCCGCCGCCUUUGCCUCCACCGCCGCCUCCCCCGCCGCCUUUGCCCCCGCCCCCGCCUUUGCCACCCCCGCCUUUGCCUCCCCCGCUGCCUUCGUUGCCACCCCUGCCUCCGCCGCCGCAACCGCAGCCGCCGCCUCCGCCUCCGCUGCCUUCUCCACCACCACCUCCGCCGCCGCCUUCACUCGCCUCCGGAUGUAAUAGAAAAGGAAACCACAAAGCAUGAUGACAACACAUGACUACACCAACAAUAACCAACGUUGGAAUGUUAUUGUCAUCGGAUGAUACGGAAUUCGGAUCGAUCCAUCCCAAUGGAGGAGGAAAGUUCUGGAAACUCGGAUGAAUUUGUGGAUAGUUACUAUUCUCCAUCAAGAAAACUCUAUGGGGGUAGUUCAAUGCGAGCGGUGAGUCUACAAACAUAUUAUGAAGCAUCAAUCCGAGAGCCAAUUUACUCUUUUAUCAUGAUGAAUUGAUCAUAUGGUCCGAGCGCGAGAUUGAAAUGAUUCAAGAUGGAAUUCAGCGAGAUAUAAUAUGAGUGGAAGUAGGUGCUUGCACAUAUACCUUCACAAGAAGAACCAAGAAAAUCGGUGAAUGAUGUUGCGCCAAUGCUUACAUGAUUUGCAAAGAAGUGAGAAUUUUUGCCUGGUGGAGCAUAGCCCUAUAUAUGCCCCGCGCCGCUGCCUCCCUCACAGGGUGGGUUGGGUAAGUGUUUUAAUCAAUGCAUCACCUGUCUUUUUUGAGGGUGUAGUGUAAUAAUUGAAGCAUCUGGACAAAUAGUUGGGAAAUUUUAUUCACGUGCCAAAGAUCGUAAAAAUUAUCAAAAGAAUCAUAAAUCUAUUAUAAUUGUACUAAUUAAAUUAUAAAUAUUUUUUAAUCAAUUAAGUGCUAAAUAUUUUAUAUUUAUAUCAAUUCAAUUUGUCCGAUCAAAAUUGGCUACCCAACACUAAAAUGAACACCGUCGGUGCUGACGUGGAUAAUUUUUAAUAAUAUUUGAAUAUUUUUUCGAUUUGUAUUCCUAUUUUUCUUUUUAUAUUUUUUUUUCCUUUUCUCUUUCUUUCUUUUUUUUUUCUUCACUCCCUUCUUCCUUCGGCUGGUUGCCAGCGACCACUAGAAAUGAAGCUCCAGGAAGAACAGGAUGAACUUCAACUACUGUCUAGGCUCGAUCAGGUCUUCAUGUGUGAUGGUCCGGAGCUGGGAUUUAGGCCCAUUGAAAUGAUAUACAUGUUUGACUAUUCUGACUAUUCACAAUCUAAGGUGGUAAGAUUUUGGUGAAGGGCCAAGAAAAACAAUCAGGUCUGAAAUGAGAAAUUAUUAUAUGCUCUACAAAACGUGUGACUCAAUAUCAUCUUGAUCGUUAAUCCAAUAGAUCUCGCUAUGGCCCCCGGGAUCAAUUGUUGAACUGGUUUCGACAUGAGAUUUAUAGAACAUACAAUAACAUUUCAUGCACAAUGGGGUUACAGACGUGACCUAAAAAAUAAAUUCACUCUACUAUCCAAAAUAAAGUCCAGAAAAACUUAUUUUAGAGCCGACCUGCUAAGGAUAUAAGAGACCCACUGCCAAUUUGUUUCUAUUUCGAGUAUUGUAAAAACGUAGGAAAAUGUUCUAAAAUCCUCCUGAACUUAAACUGUCUUAGAUGGACACAUCAAAAAGUCACUAAUCUCACUCCUCGUGUUGGUUCAUUCUUGCCUACAUCUCUCUUAUAUGGUCAUGGGACUCAUGUCCGAACAAUACUAAAAAACAGCCAUGUCGCCAGCUAAUUAGAACGAUGGAAUUAAACGAUGAAACGUGGGGAAAACGACGUAAUGGCAAAGUCCGUCGUCUUGUCACAGUCGGCCACGAUCGUGUGUGUUUAGAAUCUUAUCCUUCCGACUUGAUUCGCCAUCACAUCAUUUUUAACCCCCAACUUUCGGACUCUUGGGUCUGUUGCUACCCCUGUGUCGCAAUAAUGAUCCAAUGCCACAAGAAAAGACCACUAGAUAGAUCCGACAAAUGCAUAAAUUGAAUCUAAUAAAAAAUCAAUUCAAAUUGACAUAUUUUAUUCAUUUUGACUCAUUUUCAUACAAUAAAAAUCAACUUACUCAUACACGACCUCACUCAUAUUUGACUUGACCUAUAUAUAUAAAACACUUCCAUAUUUAACCUAAUUUAAGAAAAUUCAUACUCAAACUAAAGUGAGAGUAAUUUAUGAAUUUAAUUAACACCCAUAUUAUUUUAAGUUUAAAUCAUUCAUAUAAUUAAAAAAAAUAGACUUAUAGCCCAUUUUAAUAGGUCUCUCAUCAAAUAAACAUGAUAUCCUGACAUUUAUGGAAAAUUGUCCCAAUUAUGUCACAUUGCAUAUACAUGUAAGAAGGAAGAUUGGGACAUCUCCCAAAAAUCAAGUACGUCAUCGACAUUGCAUCAGUUGAGAAAAGAGCAAGAAGAACCAUAAAUUAUAUGUUCAAUUCUACUUGAUUCAAAUGGGAUGUUGCCUGCCUUUGGGGAAGGACAUACAUGAAACGCAAUAACCAAAAUGCACAGAAGACUAGCGACUAAUAGUCACUAAUAAAGAUAUGGAAAAACACAUAAUGGAAAGAUUGUGUUGGAUUCCAAAGAAUUGAUAAUGUUCAAAUACCACCGAAAGAAAAAGGCAUCUUUUGUGUCAAGACCGCUCUCCUUUCUCAAGAUAAAGUUGACAGUGUCCUCCACAGUGUCUAGGACCUGCAUAGGUAAACAUAAAAGAGUUCAAUUGGGGUAAGCAAUUUUUGGAUGCACUUUUAAUCUUGGAAAAUUUGGAGAGAAGACAUAUUCCCCAUAAAAGUUGCUUUCAAUUGGGCAUAUUUUGGAAAUACUGACAUUUUGCUAGGCUGAAGAAGGAAAAGGUUCAGUCAUGUUUCAUCCAACCAAUUUAGAAUUGACCGAUCACCCAAAGUAGGGAAAAUUCCAAAUAAGGAUUUGAAAUGGACCAAUUUUCUCAAAUAAGAACCCAAAAUUAAUUUUAUGCCAGAUAAAGACCUAAGGUGAACCCAUUAUCUCAAAUAAGGAUUCGAAGUAGUUGAAUCAAUUCCAAAUAAGAACCUAAGUUUGCUAGUCAACUAAAUAUUCGUCGGCCAUCAAGCAUGUAACAUUUCUAACGACAGGAGUUUGGGCAAUUUUGUCCAAAAAAGUUAUAAGGAAAAGGGAAUUCCAAAUAAGGAUCUGAAGUAAAUCAAUUUUCUCAAAUAAGGACUUGAAAUUAACUUUAUGUCAGAUAAAGACCUAAAGUGAACUCAUUGUCUUAAAUAAGAACCCGAAGUGGUUGAAUCAAUUCCAAAUAAGAACCUGAGCUUUGUCGGCUAUCAAGCAUGUGACAAUUCUGACGAUGGAAGUUUGGACAAUUUUGUCCAAAAAAAUUAUAAGGAAAAUUCACAAAUCCUAAAAUAGCAAAAAAAAACCAUAGGUUUUCUACGGUCUUCCCGUUCCUUGUACCCGUCCCCUACAAAGUCAAAGACCAAAAAGUUCUCCCCAUUCCUUGUACCUAUCCUUCACAAAGUCGAAGACCCAAACUCUCCACCUAUUGAAGCACGCAUUAAAAAACAAGAAGAAAACCAUUUCUUUGUUUGUUUGCGGAGACCCAAAUUCUCCGCCAAUCGAGCAAGGCGAGGAGCGACGAGAAUCGAGUCACGAUGACAACCAAGCAGCGAUUUGGUUGAGGAAUAGCGAGGGAGAAGAAAGAAGAAAACGUAAACAUCUAAAUAAAUAACCUAAACUUAAUUAAUUUAGAAUUUUCCAUUUUUUUACAAUCACAAAUUUCUAACAAAAUUGCCCCUAUUUUAAUCGAUGGAAAAUGUUUGCUGACGAGCUAAGGUCUUUAAUAGAAAUUAACUUAAUUACUUCGGAUUCUUAUUUGACACAAAAUUCACUUUAGAUCAUUCUUCGAAACAAUUAAUCCACUUCGGGUCCUUAUUUGACACAAAGUUCACUUUAGGUUUUUAUUUGAGAAAAUUGAUUCACUUUGGGUCCUUAUUUGGAAUUUUCUCCCCAAAGUAUAGCAAAUCAAGGUACAUAAGAAUGGGAGGAUUAUCCACGCUGACAGCUCAAAACCACUUGAGGCCAUGUUUGGUUCAUUGCUCUGGAAUCAUGAAAAGGAAUCUCAAUCUAAGCAAUCGAAUUCCUAGAUGUGGGGUUCAUUCUCUAUUGUCCGGUUUCAAUAUACAAAUGGAGGGAGAAACGUCUGAUGUGAGAUGCAAAGUGAGGUAAAAACAUGUCAGAAAUGGAAUGUGAAAUAUUUCUCCAAUCCACAUAUCCAAAGUGGCUAAUGAAAAACUAGGGAUAGAAACAGAAUGAAGAACCACAUACGAUCCCCAACAAUUUCCCGAUUAUUGUCAUCUAAAAUGAUCAUACAAUUCACACAAGCAUUUCACAAACACAUUACAUAUAGCUCCUCAAGAUAUUGUGAGUCAAGCAUUUCACACAUAAUCUGCAACAAUGAAGAUAAAGCCAUUCCCAUGUAACUUCUGUUAAAUUAAUGUCUCAAAUUUGAAUUCAUAUAACGAUUUGAUGAAUCGAAUUUAUUGAUAAAGAUUUCUCAAGUAGAUUUUAAAUUGGAUGAAUAAGCCCUUCUUUUUUUGGAUUCCUUAUAUUUGCACAAAGGAGUAAAUAAAAUAAAGAAAAAAAAUUAAGGGUUAUCUACUCUCUCUCUUUUUUUUUUUGUACAUGCAGAAGAAGGCAGAAGAAGAAUUGAUAGUGGAGAAAAGAAUCCAAGGUGGGGCAAAGUCAAAGUUUUGAUUUUGGGCACACACACAAUAUAAAAGGCAUGUUUUCAGCGGAAAAGGAAAGUGAAGCCCUAAAAAAAAAAAAAAAGCCGCACAUCCACACGUAUAGACGCCGUACAACCCUUGAAGAGGUAGAGAAUGCGAAGCUAUACAUACGUGGAUUGGCGUACAUAGAGCAUUUUAUUUUGACCUUGAAUGCGCGGUACUUUGAGCUUGAAUGCACGGAAAUUUUGUGCAGUAAAUUUAUGUCCAAGUGAAUUGUUUAUUUAUAAACAUUUUUGGUUUGGACUUAAAUCUAGGUGUGGGAAACACUCAAGCGUGUGAGAGAUUGUAAACUCUAAUUCUCCAAUUAUAAUGGAUUAUUUGCUACUAGUUCUCCCCGUGGACGUAGAUACUAAUACUCGGACCAAACCACAUAAAUUUCCGAUGUCCUUAUUAUUUCUCGUUUAUUUCUCUAAUGGUUUUGCGUUAACAUAAAUUGCAAGAUUCUAUCGUUUUCGAGUAUUAUAUUCCAACAACUUCAAACUACUUCACAGCUGUGAUAUUCUUAUCCUUAUUGUUUUUUGAGUCAAAGACCCAAUCACGAGAACAAAUGGAGUGAAUGCAACUCAGCCAAGUGUGUUAAUGGAACUUUAUAUCCCCACCCAAGCCAAUGUGAUGUACGUAGUGGCAUCUCCAUUAACAGACCACACAAGUUUCACAAUAGCGAGAGAGACAAAUAAUUUCACCUAGUAGAGGAAUGUGAGGGCCAUGGAAUCAAGAGGCAGGCGAAACUCCCAUGGAAGGAUUUGAAGAUGAUGAAUGGAGAGAGAGAGAGUUCUGGCUUUCUAGGAUUUGAAGAUUUAUGAAGCUCAAGAGUACUAAGCGUGUUGGGUUCAUGAAUGUUUUUUCCUCCUGGGAAUCCAGUACCACCUCUACCCGAGCAAUCCAGUUUUGCAUUAGGAGUAUCCAUUAACUAGGCACUUUGAUUAUAUGAUCAUAAAUCCAUCUAUAGAUGAGCUGCAAUAGCAUUCCAUUUCAUGUUUAUUACUCCAAGGUGAACCGAACAAGGCCUAAGUGAUUACACGAUAUACCAUACUUCUGAAUGUUUUCAUGGUGGAAUCAAUGAUCUGCAGUCUCAACCAUGACUUUCCAGAGGAUCAUGUAUCUAAAAUCUCUAAACCAAAGAAGUGAACAUGCACAUGAUUCGCUUACUUAAGAACCUACCAUCAACUCACCCCAACGUACAUGCAAGGAGAGAUGAGAGAGACAGAUAGUUAGUACAUGCAUACGCACUCUUCCAUGUCUUUUCAAUUCAUAUAAUAUAAUAUAGGUAGUGCAUUUCCCUAGUUUCCAAGAAGAAAGCACAUGAGAUGAAAGAUAUUAGAUGUGUUCUUUGAUAUCCACGUACACGUACAAGAUGUGUGCAUUCAAUAAAGUCCAAUUUCACAGUUUUGAACCUACUAAAUUGUGUACCUAUAAAUAAUUCUUGUACAGGAGAAUUCUUAUUAAGCUAAUAAUACACAUGCACAAUAUUUUAUUUCGUGAUCCCAGAUUUUAAUAAUCAUGAGUGAGAUAGAUGAAAAAAGCAAAUGUUAUCGAAAAUGCUCAGUCCCGAUUUACAUUAGCGUGCCACAUUUCUCAUUGGACAUUGGUCAUGGAGAUAAUCCAACAAAUCCUUACCUAUUUACCAGUUGUUUAAAAGGUGUGUGGCCCUGUAUGACCUGCAAAUUAUCUUGGUCAAAAUAUGAGAGAAAAACGAAACAAAGUAGUUCUGGACCUUAUAACAAGCAAAAUCGUGAGGGCAAGCAGAUUUUGUAACACAAGAGAUGAACUACCUGUGAAGGUAGAAUGUUGACUCCUAGUAGUUGACCUAAGCCCUGGGCUCUUUUGGAUUCAGAAAAGCCACCUCCUGCAUCAGCCAUUGCUAUUAGCAGUGUGCAGUAAACAUUAAUUAUCACUUCGUCAGGAAUUAACAAGUGAAAUUAAUUAUUUCAAGGGAGUAACCUAUUAUAUGAUUAUAGGUAAGGGCAUCUCAAAAGGCGUCACAUAUUCAAAUUGCUUGAAUGACUUAAACAUAAGAUAGCGGCAAUCUCAAAAUCAUCAAAACGAUUACUGUUAGAUCUUAAAAGUACCAAUACUUGCUGAAAGUGAAUAAUCAACCACAAUAAGCGUAUGAUGCCCAGGAUGCAACUUGAAAACUUUAGUUUGACCAUCAUAUCACGGCACUCACCGGUGAUGACUCUAUAGGAACGGUCACAUUCGCUAACACACAUCGAAAGUGAGAAAUGUAAUAGUAAAGGUUACUAACACAUUUAAGCAAUUUCGAACACUCACCAUUUGUUAAGAACACGAAAGGUAUCUUCAAAUCUCCUGAAAAGAUGUAGAACAUAAAGUAAGUGAUAGCAGUUUACAAAUAGCAGAUACGAAUCUCGAUAUCCGCCGCCCUUUACUGUCCAUCAGAAAUUUCGGUAGCAAUCAGUUCGCAACGUAGAACAUUGGAAGACAGAUGAAACAGCACGAUCGCCAGCAUGAGACAAGCCUCGCAGGUAUAUCAGCAAGCGAUGGCGAAAGCUUUAGCAGAAUCGUAGUACAAUCUCCUCAGCGCGCGGGGAGAACCGCGGACGGGAGUGUGACCGAGGAGGACCACGCCGUCGAUGUCAAAGGCGAUGCCAAACGAAGGCCUGCACGACGAAACCACGUUUGUCGAUUCGAUCACGGACUAAAAGAAGAAGAAGAGAAAAAGAGAACAUCGGAGAAUAUCACGAGCGUAGUCGAAGCAUGACCGGAACGCACCGAUCCGAUUGCGAGCUAAGCCGCGAAAACAAGCGCGAGGUGAGCGGGGACGGCUGCUUUCUGCCACGACUCCGCGAGGCGAUGGUGAAAAGCCGGUGCCUCAUUUUCCUGUUCGCGGUGAAUCGCUUCGGGAGAUCGAGGAGCUCGAAUCGCCGGAGAUGAAGCUCCAAGAAGAACGGAACGAGCUUCAACAGUCCAUAGAGAAUAGAGGAGAGAGAGAGAGAGAGAGAGAGAGAAUGGCGCAAUCGCGCAGCGUCUUCUCGUUCGAUGUUCAGGGGCCGUGAAUUGGGCCCAGUGAAAUGAUGGGCGGGCCUCGAUAACGCAUCGGCCUUUCCUUCGGAUCCGAGCUCAACGGUUAAGCUUGAUUUUGGUGAACGUUUUUGGGCUGUUUUCUUUAGUUCUUUCAUUUUUUGUUGUAUUUUUCUCUUCGGGCCUAGUAAUUUGGGCUCCUUGUCUCGGAACCUCUCGAGAGAAUCGUCAACUGCAUCUUUGGUGCACCUGGUGCAUGUACAUCUAGGAAUUCUCAAUGGGCUAGUCGUAAAUGGCCCCACCCUAGGACUAUGAGACCAAUGGUUAUCCCAAACCUACACCGAGAUGUUGACGGUGAUUUUCAAAUUAUUGAAAAACAGGGUGUGAUAUGAUGAAAUAGGAUGCAAUAGAGACAAACACAAAAAAUGAACGGAUUGCUUUCUUCUUUUUUUCUUUCUAUUUCUUCGUAGCAUAGUUUGGAUUAGUUGCGCAAAAUACUUGUACUCUAUGAGACACACUCUGAUUAUAGAACAAAGUCACUUUGUCUGGUUUUUCCUUUUUCAUGCUUUGCCCUCUGGCUAAUUUAAAGAUGUUGCCAAAAUUCUGGUAAAACUAUGAAAUUCUGCUCUUUUCAUGGCUAUAUUUGAUGUGAAGACUAACAUAUCGAACACCUACGACACCACUAUUCUAGCAUGUCUUUUUUUUUUAUGAAAAUAUUAUAGCGUGCGUUUGACGACUCAAAGUCUAAGGGGACAAACUUCUGGUGGGGGACCGCGAAAAACAAUCAGGUGGAGAAAUUAUUGCAUGCUUCACAAACUAUACAAACCAAUAUCAUCUCGGUCAUUAAUCAAAUAGAUCUCACUAUGAGUUUCGAUGUGUGAAUUAUUGAACAAAAUUUCGACAUGUGACUUAUAGGCCAUACGAUACAUCUUCAUACGAAAUGGAGUUGGUCAACGAAAAUUCACACUAUUGUCCACAAUCGAGUCCACAAAAAAUUAUUUCAGAGCCAACCCAACUAAGGUAAAAGAGAUAUGCAGCCAAUUCAUUUAUCUUUUUUAGUAUUCUAAAACGUCGGAAAAAUAAAACACUUGUCUUAGGCCCUGUUUGGUUCAACUUUCCUAAUGGGCUUUGAGCUCCUAAAAGCCCUUGGGGAAAAUAUUUUGUGCUUGGCAUGUAUUUUUAAAAGCUCUUUUGCCCAAUGUCAACAUUCCCAAUGCUGAAACCAAUGCUAGAGAGAGGCUACUUUGAGCAUUGGCAUUUUGGAGAUGCGAUUUCACCGUUCACCGAGUCACUGUUCAUAUUCUUCUUCCCCGCCCAUCUUCUUCGCCGUUCAUCUUCUUCUUCCCCCGCCCGAGAGUCGACUGAGCUUCGUGGUGGGCGACCGGGGCUAGAUUUGGCCGUCAGGAAGCCUCGCCUGAGGUUGCGCAGCCUCAGGCGAGGGGGCCUGAGGUCGGGCAACCUCAGGUGUCGCCUAGGUCGUGCGACCCAAGCACUGCCACCUAAGAUCAAACGACCCAGGCGACGCCACCUAAGACCGCGCAACCACAAGCUACAUUUUACUCGUAGUUUGUCCUUAUAGGCCUCCAAAAACAACCCUCCUGUUCAACCAUCUGAUUCAAGUCGAUCACAAAAUGAGUUUCAUUUCAUCAUACGGAAAAUAGACAUUUGGAGGGGCUACUUAGAGAUCAUCAACAAAUGAAAAAAUCCAAAUGAUAAGGAGAGUGAGCAGAAGUUGAUAAGUUUAUAAAUUGACUUAUUAUAGUGUUUACAAUUUAUUUACGAUGCUUGUAAAAUUUCUAAGGAGUUGAUUAUUCUUUAAUUCAUUUCAAAGUUGGUAAAUUUCUAACGGCAUUAAUAAGUUAUUGAUAGGUUAUUUGGCAAUCAAAUUGACCGUCGUGCUUUUCUUUUAUCGACUGUACUAGAUGUUAAUGUUGGCUUGGUCUACCUGUGUGGGGCCCGGUUAACGUUAAUAAAUAAAAGAAAAGGUCAAAAGUCAAAAAUGCAAUAAAGGAAAAGAAAGGCGGGUUGCUCGUUUGGAGAAGACAGGAAAUGGGCUGCGACAUCCGGUCUAGAAUCAAAGGCCAAAUAUCAUCAGAGUUGACUCAAAUUUCAAUAUAUUAUUAUAAGACCGAGACAGAUGAGUCAAGACAGGUGAGUCCAUCAGUUUCAUUUGUCAAUCCGUUUUGCUCAUUGAACACUUUUUCUAAAUUAUCUCAAAUUUCUCCAAUCGCAAUUAGGGUUUCUUACUUCAUAUAUUAAUCCGUUUUUACAGUGACGAAAUGUCAUUAAAUUAUUGAUAUUGAAUCUCUAAUAUAUUACUAAAGAACCUCUGUGCAUUUUACUAUUUUUUGUGAUUAGUGAAAGUUUUUGAAUUGUCCAUAAUUUUUUUCACAUUGAAUUUUUCAUGUAAACUUGUCGUGUUUGCUUUUGUCUGUUUUUAUCAUUUUGGCAUUAUUUUUAUUCAUUAUGAGAUUAUAUUGCGGGAAUAUAUUGCCUGUUAUCAUGGGAGUUGAGUGGAUUUUGGUCCAUUUAAUCUUGGGAAGAAAUUGAUUCUACAUUAGGUUAAUUUUUUAUGAAUCGUUGCCGGUUCUCUCGAACUUUGUAUCAAUAAUUUUGGAAAUCCAUCAGGUAAGGGAAAUUUUCCGCACUUUCCUUUGACUACCCUGCGCUCAGUCCCGAAAGCUUAAGUCAGCCGCACCUUUGAUUUUUUGUCUCAUCAACCAAUAGCAUUUCAUUUUAGGGUCUUCGUCGUCGCGGAAAAGGAUGAUUUCUAUCCCAAUCGCGUCCUCAUUGGCAUCUUUGAUUUUUUUGUCUCAUCAACCAAUAGCAUUUGAUUUUAUGGUCUUCGUCGUGAAAAAGUAUGAUUUCUGUCCCCAUCGGCAUCUUUGAUUUUUUUGUCUCAUCGACCAAUAGCAUUUGAUUUUAUGGUCUUCGUCGUCGUGAAACGUACGAUUUCUGCCCCAGUCGUGUCCUCAUCGGCCCAAAGCAUUUUACUUGCUUUUCCCAGAACUACUCCAUAAUUGCCUCGAACGCGUUGACGCAGCCACGUUCUACGACUUUUAGCCAUUUCGUCUUCACCUAUCGAAGGGAUGAUCCAGUCAAAAAUGUUGUCCAGCAAAUUUCUUGUUCUCCCCCUUUUUUUGAAGUUGAUAAUUUUAUGCUCAAAUGAAAAUCCUAAUUAGCUACUCCUGAUCAAAUAUUGCUAUUUCUCUCUCCUCUUUCAAUAUAAUCCGAUUCGAGUCGAUAGCAAGGAGAAAAGAGGGCAUGUCUCGACGAGGCUUGAGCCUCGCCGAUAGUUGGCGAGACCUCCAGCUCACCAGAUCGGUAGGCCCGAGCAUGCCUGAUGCCAACGAGUUCAAGGCUCACUAGAUUUGCAAGGCUCAAGCCUCACCUGAUGCCGACGAGCUCGAGCCUCACUUGACCAGUCAUUGGCCAUCGCCGUGUCAAUAGCCAACUAAGAAAGGAGGAAGAAGAAAUGGGAAAAAAAAUAAAAAGAAAAUUAAAAUAUAAAAAUAAAUAUAAUUUCGAUUUUUAUAUUUAAAAAAGUUAAAAAGGGAAGAGAGAGAUUAUGACGCUUUAGUUGAAAAUGGGUUUUAAAUCCAACUCAUUUAAAACCCAUUUAUCUUAAAUCUUCAUUUUUAAACCCAUUUAACUAGUUUCUUUAAAAAAUAAGUGACUCAUAUAUAACACAUUUAUGAUUUAAAUAGGUCAAAUAUGAGUCUAAAAUCCAUUUUGUCACUUCUAGCUGUAAGUGGGUUGAUUUAUUGUGAAAGUUUCGAACUUUGUUGAUUCCAUUUGCCGUGAGUGCGAAGCAUCGCGUUGCCCGAGUCGACCCGGGUUUUUCCGCGCUUGUGCGUUAAUGUGGAAAUAAGAAAUUGUUCCUCGCCUUCCAGAUAAACCGAAGGAUAAUAGCUACCAGUUCAAAGGUCAGAUCUUUCCUUGUCUUGUCACGGAAGAUUCUGAAGCCACACUUCAAUUCGUGUUAUAUUAUGAUCUGAGAAAUAGAUGUUUACUGCGGGGUUUGUCCAAAUCGGUUUCGUCCAGGGCCACGAUAAGAAGAGAUGCUCCAAUGUUCCUUUUUUCAAACUCUCUUGCAAGAUUGAUUGCAUUUUUAUUUUUCAGGAGUCGUGCUUUGAUUGGAUAUGUUCAUGUUUCAGAGGAGGCUUGUGAAAUUGUGAAGACAACUCGCAUCAUACUUGUCAGCAUGCAGGGAUGGAACUCUCAUAUAUUUUUAGUGGGGUCAAUGCCCUAAAGACUGUAAGAUAAGGUAUUUCAUUUAACAAAAAAAAUUAUAAAGAUGCGAUCGAGCUAUUUAUUGAUUUGAAGUAGUUUUUCUACGCAAAAUUUGACUUGAAAUCAAUGCUUUGACAUUGAAUCAUGAAUGUGAACAAAAUUCGGUUUCAAAUCCUUGUGCUCGAGCUCGACUCAAUAUAGUAUAUAGGGCUCGAAAUUGAACUCGAUUCAACUCCAUUAUUAAAAGCUUGAUUCUACUCAUUUGACUUGUUACGUAGGAUGUUUAUUUCUAUUUUUCCUAAUCAUAUAUUGUACCUUCUGCAUAGCCUAAUCAUGCUAUUCGAUUGCUUUAUCUUCUGACUCUAUCAAGCCUUGUGUUUGAUUGGUGGUGCGGUUGUCUAGUAGUGCAAUGUCUAAGCUCGAUAAUUUUCUAAUAAUUGUUUAUCUUUUUAUUUUCCAUUUUUUACGUCAUAAAGAAGUUUAUAGUACAUGGAAAGACAAGAUACUGGUUUUGAUUUCUUGCAAGUUAGCGCAUGGUCCCUUAGAGGGUGACGAGGCUAAGCCUAAUUACAUCAAUUGAACAACAGAAUUUACUAAAAAGGCAAUGUGGGGUUUCAUUAGGCAUCAUCAGUUGGAUUUUAUUUAUUUAAAUAAACUAUAAGGAUCCCAUCCCACUGCUCCUUUUGCUCUUCCGAUUUCCAUCUUUUGGCAAUGGAAAACCAUAGCCACAACAACACAGAUAUAAAUUAAGGAAUCGUUAUGCUAGCUAGAUCCCAUGAGAAACAAUUGAUGUCAUCUCAUCCAUUGAUCGUCAGACUUUCAAGAUUAUAUGUCACAACCGCACUUCCAUUCACUCACGAAACACUUCUUGGAUAUGUCCUUCCUCAGCACUUCAUUUCGAGUAGGGAUUAAUAGUUCCCCCCGUACAGAUUGGAGUACGAAGCCCACCCAAAAAGUCGAAUAAAAUAGUCCGUUCUAUUUUGCCGGUAUCACCAGCUGACUUAGUUCCGAUGACUCUCUUCGGAAUAUGAGGCAAUAAUAGAGCAAAUCUGUCAAACGGUUCUCCACCAAGAGCAGGAACUCUUUUAUUAUGUAUGUGGAUUGAUUGGUCGAUUUACGACAUUUUGUAUAGAAAUUACAAAAAAAUGCAAGUAGUUAUAAUUCAUUAUAAUUCAAAAUUUUAUUUAUCAAUGACCAUAAAACUGCUCAUGUAUUAUAAGAAGAAAUUUAAAAAACUCUUCAACACAAAAGUUAUUCAUCACAUCGAAUCUCCAACAUUUUAUAGUAGAGUAGACGAUCUAUCACCGUGCAGCACUCAAGUUUCACACACAAACAUAAAUAGAAGCUUCUAAAUUCAUAAGCAUACAAUAAGAUAAGAAAGACGAUCUAUCACCGUGCAUCAUUCAAUUCCAACAACCCAUGCCCCUGCUGGCACCCCUGCCCACAGUCAGGGCAUUUUGUACUUGAAAAAAGCUGGUACUCUUCCAUGCUUGCACUUCUCACACAUAAAUAAUAAUGGCGUCCCCCUUAGCAACCCCCGCUCCCCCUGUAGCCCCCGCUGCCCCUUCUCCCCCCGCUCCCCCUUAUCCCCCUUAUCCCCCUUCUCCCCCCGCUCCCCCCGCUGCCCCUGGUCCCCCUUUGGCCCCCGCCGCCGGAUGUAGUAGAAAAGGAAACCACAAAGCAUGACAGCAACAAUGACUAAACAAACAAUAACCCAUGUUGGGGUGUUAUUGUCAUCAGAUGAUACGGAAUUCGGAUCGAUCCAUGCCGAUGGAGGAGGAAAGUACUGGAAACUCGGAUAAGUUUGUGGAUAGUUAUUGUUCUCCAUCAAGAAAACUCUGUGGACGUAGUUCAAUGCGAGUGGUGAGUCUACAAACAUAUUAUGAAGCAUCAAUCCAAGAGCCAAUUUACCUUUUUGUCAUGAUGAAUCGAUCGUAUGAUCCGAGCGCGAGAUCAAAAUGAUUCGACACGGAAUUCAAUGAUAUAUAAUGUGAGUGGAAGUACGUGCUUGCACAUAUACCCUCACAAGAAAAAUGGAGCAAAUCAGUGAAUGAUGUUGCGCCAAUGCUUACGUGACCUGCAAAAAAGUGAGAAUUUUCGCUUGGUGGAGGUAUCGUUAUAUAUGCCUCGCGACACUCCCUCCCUCCCUCAUGAGGUGGGUUUUUUUUUUUUUUAUUAUUGGCCAAAAGAUAAUAAUUUUCAUUACUAACCAACUAAGGGGGCAUCAUUAGUUGAAAAGUCUAAACAUACAAUUCAACAUAGAGAACGGGGAGAAUUUGAACUCCAAUUGCUGGAAAGUAAGCUGGCUCGGUAGGUUAGGUAAGUGUUUUAAGUAAUACAUCAUUUUUUUUGAGGAUGUAGUGUAAUGAUUGAAGCAUCUAGACAAAAAGUUGGGAAAUUUUAUUCACGUUCCAAAGAUAGGAAAAAAUAUUAAAAAAAUCAUAAAUCUAUUAUAAAUGUACCAAUUCUAUUAUAAAUAUAUGUUUAAUCAAUUAAGUACUAAAUCUUUUAUAUUUAUAUCAAUUCAGUUCGUCUGAUCAAAAUUGGCUGCUCAGCACUAAAAUGAACACAAUGCAUUCUAUGAGUUACCGUCAACACUAAUGUGAAUAAUUUUUAAUAAUAUUUUAAUAUUUUUUCAAUUUUUAUUCCUAUUUUUCUUUUAAUAUUGUCUUUUCUUCUUUUUUUCCUUUUCUCUUUCUUUCUUUUUUUAUUUUUUUUCUUUCACUCACUUCUUCCUUCGGCUGGUCGCCAGCGACCACUGGAAAUGAAGCUCCACAAAGAACGGGGCGAGCUUCAACUACUGUCCAAGCUCGAUCACAUCUUCAUGUGUGAUGUUUAGGAGCUGGGAAUGAUACGCAUGUUUGACUAAUACAGUCCAAGGGAAUAAGAUUUUGGUGAAGGGCCAAGAAAAACAACCAGGUCUAAAAUGAGAAAUUAUUAUAUACUCUACAAAAUGUGUGAUCCAAUAUCAUCUCAAUCAUUAAUCAAGGUAGAUCUCGUUAUGGGCCCACGGGGUCAAUCGUUGAACUGGGUUUCAACAUGAGAUAUAUAGACCACACAAUAACAUUUCAUGCAAAAUGGGGUUAUAGACGUGACUUGCAAAAUAAAAUUCACUCUACUAUCCAAAAUCAAGUCCAUAAAAACUUAUUUUAGAGCCAACUUGCUAAGGAUAUAAGAGACCCAUUGUCAAUUUGUUUCUAUCUCGAGUAUUCUAAAAAUGUAGGAAAAUGUUCCAGGAUCCUCUUAAACUUAAACUGUCUUAGAUGGAUACAUAAAAAAAAACCACUAAUCUCAGUCCUCGUGUUGGUCUAUACUUGUCUACAUCUCUCUUAUGGUCACGGGACUCCUGUCCGUAGUGAAACGUGGGAGAAAACGACGUAACGGCAAAGCCCGUCAUAUCGGCGCUGUCGGCCACGAUCAUGUGCGUUUAGAAUCUUAUCCUUCCGACUGACUCGCAAUCACAUCGUUUUGUCCCCCAACUUUUGGACUGUCGGGUCUGUUUCUCCUGUUGAGAAAAUAUUAGGUACGUGAGACGCUCGAGCGUGGCAAACAAGAAGGCGGUGGGAGCACGUGUCUCGUGGGACCCACAAUUUCAGGCGCCCAUUUUGAAAAUUUUCCUGUACUGUAGCUUCUGGAGAGGGGGUUGUCUGUCGCGCGGGUUCUUCUUUGCGCCUCUCUCUACCCUCGCUUUCUCUCCCCGACGAACUCCUUCUCUCUCUGCCUCGCUUUUUCCGACCGGCGAGCCACCACGAGCAACCGACGAACCAGGAGGAUACCGGCGAGACGACCGCGAGCAACCGACCGGUGUGCGACCUCCCUCUCUCUCUCUCUGCCCUCCCUCUUCCCGACCGGCGAACAACCGCGCCGCCCUUCUGGCUCCGCUUCUGGCCCCGACUCGUCCGUCCCGUACUCUUUGUCUCUCCUCGCUUCUCUGUCUGCCCUCCCUCUCUUCGACAGCGAACCACCGCGUGACCGGCGAACCACCGCGCCACCCCCCUCCGGCUCCAGAUCCGGCACCGGCUUGUCCAAGUAAUUUCUCGCUUUCUCUUUUCUCUCUUUUAUAGGAGUCCAGCGAUGCCUGAAAAGUCAUUAGUAGUAUGCUUUUCGCCUGUAAUUUUUCUUUAAUCUUGGGUCUGGCUAUUCAUUAUGCCAGUAGGACAUACUCCGAAAAGGCUCUAAAAUGAGUGCUAUUGUUGCAAAUCAUGGAUAGUCCUUGAAAAGCCAGAUCUGUCAUUCUUCCAUAUUGAUGUUUAUAUGUAUAUUCCCCAAUAACUUUGCUGAGAUGCACUGCAAAUGCAUCCAGUCUCAAUUGAUUAUCGUCAUGCAGUGUAGAUUUUUCUUGCUUCUGAGAUCAUUUGGUCGUAUUUGUUUCCGUGUGUUUACGAUGCUUAUGGUAAUACUGUACUCUCUUAGUGUUCAUUCUGAUAUUUAGUCUGCCGUUCCUCCUCUCUCAGGUUCUUGUGGAACUGUCUAUCACGCUCUGUGGUACGGAUCAGUGUGUUCUUCUACGCCCCUUAAAUUUAGUUUAACAGGGUGAUGCAUGCUGUCAUGAUGUAAAAUGCAUGUACCUCACUUCAUGGUAUACGCACUACUUAUCUCACUCCUCUAAUAGCGUUUGGCUAUCUCUUAUGCUAUUCACUUACGGACUUCAAGUUCUCUUUAUAAUAUGUAAUGCAUGGUGGUGGAGUGAAUUUUACUCGUGUUGCCGACAUGAAACACAGGAGAAAUGUGUCAUCUGUCUGGACAGUAGGUAUUAUUCUGUGUUUUGCUAUAAGUGGCACGAUAAAUGUGGCACAAAUACCUGUUGUGGAGAAGUGGAAAAAAAGGAGAUUAGUGUUGUAAAUGGCUUUGUGAUAUCGUGUUGUUCCCAUAUAUAACUAAAUGAUGUGGGUAACUUUAGUUGGUGCGUUCUGCUAUGUUUUACUUAUUUUGCUAAAUGAAAGAGGAGAUUUAGUGCAAUGCAUUUGGCUUCUCACUUUAUCUCACUGUUUGGUAUAGACCUAUGCGAUCUCCUCAUGAUGAUUUUUUUUCUUUUUUUUGGAUUUUAACUUUCUCUGCAUUUAACUUGGUCCCAAAGAUGUCCCGCCUAGAAAACAAAACAUAAUUGCAAAGAAGGAAAUAGAAAAAGGAAAUAAGGAAGAGUUGCAGAUAGUCAUUGAAGAAUGCAAAACAGAUAUCCCCUGAGAUCAGAAAUGGCCAUCCUUCAUGAGCUUACUUAAAUAUUAUCUGGUGACAAACUAAUGUGAAGUUAUAAAAAAAUAAAAAAUAAUAAUAGUUGGAAUUUUGGGUUGAAUAAGCAUCAAGAACUGUCACCGGUUAAAGAUUGGUCACGUCAAAAUGGGAAGCGAAGACUAACUAAACAUUCUGGCUUUAUUUAAAUUUGUUGUAGCAAGCAAAUAGAAGUCUAAAGUUUGUGAACUCCAUUUUGGGAAACGGAUGCAGCCAUUUCAUGCAUUCUUACGUGUGUAUAUCUUUAUUACAACAUGUUUGUAGGCCACGAAUUCAUACUAUUGGAUGAAAGGAAGGUGCGACCGAAUACCUGAUUUGAUGGCAAUCACAGAAACUAAAAUUGGUUUAGAGGAAAGUAGCACUAAAUCCCAUGAUGCAAAUGAAAAUAUGCAAUGUCAUUACAGAAUUAAAAUUCUAAAGCCCAUAGAAAAGAAUAUAUACAUCUCUAUUUACUAACAAAUUAAACCCAGCAAAUGCUAUUUCAAACAUACAUACCAAUAUCUUCACUUAUACCAAAAUCCGACUCUCAGAAAUCCCUCACUGACGCCUUCUCGUCCUAGUUGCUGGUAGUUGUAGAGACUGAAAAAGGACUGCGAUCAAACGUGUGUGCAAGUCACCAAUGAGUGGAUUAGCACAAAUCUCUUCAAAGGUGCCAGAUAGAUCGAGUACUCACUAUUAUAAAAAGAUACCAUAAAUACAUCUGUAAAGUAUUCGUACAAUAUUAAAAAAUUAGUUGCAUGACUUCAACAAAGCUUUGUACAUGUCAGAUCUAUUCAUUCCAUCAACUAUAUCAAAGUAAACACAUGCGGUCCAGUCCAUUGACUAAGGCCACGCUUAACAUUCGUGAUAAGCCCUACCGAGAUUCUCACUCGGCGUAAGGGUCUACUUGCAUCGGUCAGUGGAUUCGCCCAAUACAAUGUCUUGAGAAUUAUUUAUUAAUGUGAUCCCACAUUCAGGUUAUAGUUUUUGUAAUAAAAAUUUAUCCGUUGGACUUGACCCACGUUUUCUUUUUUAAGUAAUAAUUAUUCCAUAUGCGGUUUUUUCACGCUUCGUACCUCUUCGUUAUGGGAGGCGGCUUAUAAAAGGAACGAUUAUUCAUUUCGUAAGGGCAAUCACAAGAUCUAAUGCUAACCCUCUCAUUCGAAAAUAGACCAUUAGUACGUGAGGGAAUUGAAUUAAUGGAGUGUGCUCGUAAUAUCAUCAAAUCUCCAUGAAUUUCCAACGAACACACAUUUAAACAAUGGCUAGAGGUCUAUUUGAUUUUUUUAUCUCAUUUUUGCACAUAUGGUUCUAAUCAAUGAUUGAAUUUUGUUUUUCAAUGCGUGAUUAGAAUCAUUGGUUUUAGAGCAUGUAGGUAUCUUUGUCUUGUUUAUGUAGAGUUUUGAGUGUAUUUUUCAUGAGUUUUGUAAAUGAAUAGUGAAUGGGGCAUUUUGGGGGCCAAGAGAGAAGAAACUUGUCGUUUUGAGCCAAAUUUCUUGGCCGUUUUCAUUGAAACUUGGACCUGUCUGGUCCCGUUGGCGUGGUCUCCAAAACCGCGGCGGAGACGAAGGAAACGCGAAACUGCGCGAUGAAGAACAAGCGCGUGGAUUACGUGCGUAUGUCCUGCGGUUGCUGGCGCGUGAGCGGUGCUCGAGCGGCAUUUGCAGGCGCGUGUGUGCCACUUACCUACGCGACGCACAGGCAUGAAGGCAGCUUUUUCCCCUCCUCAGAUUUACAAUGUUGCCCCUUCUUUCUUGUUUGUUUUUACAAUUCUGCACUUUUCCGAAUUUACUUACUGUUUUGCCCUUGGUAGCUAAAUUUACUCUUUUACCCUUCUCCGUUUUUAAAAUGAUCGUUUUGCCCCUUCCGCAAUUUUGCAAUUCUGCCCUUGGCUGACCUAUUUACUAUUUUUCCCUUUAUGUGUUUUGUGAAUAUUUGUUACAUGAAAUUAAAUGCCUAAUGAUCCAUAUAUUUUAAUUAAUUAAAGAGUAACCAUAGCAUCUUUGAUUAGUUAAAUUAUAUAUUAAGAGCCUCCGGAUCACAUCUAGUAAUGGAUAUUGAUUGUAACUAAUCUUAUUAAUAUGAUGAAUUUUACCCCAUAGAAAUUUUCAUUAUAUUAAUAUGAUUAAUCAUGAUGAAAUAUCAUAUUAUUUUUCUUAAUUUACCCAUAGAGAUUAAGAAAAUGAAUAUAAUAUGAUAAUUUUUUCAUGGAGUGUUUAUGAAUCUAUUUAAAUUAAAACUUGAUGUUCUCAUACUAAUUGGUGAAAAUUAUAAAGUUCUGAAUGAGUUAAUUCUUCUUCAAUUGGGGUGCAUGGAAAUUGACUAUAUUGUAAGGAAAGACAAACCACAUGUUUCUAUUGAUACGAGCAUUGUAACUAAGAUAGCCCUUUAUGAAUGAUGAGAGUGGUCCAACCCUUUUAGUGCGAUGUUCAUAAGAACUAAAAUAUCUCUUAGUAUUCAUGGUUCGAUUGCUCUGUAUAGUAAUGCUAAGGUUUUAUUAGAGGCUAUUAACGCGCAAUUUGAGACUUCAAAGAAGACGCAUGCCAUGACCUUAAUUAUGAAAUUUUCAUCGUUGAAGCUUAUUAGUGUUAGAGGUAUGUGUGAGCACAUCAUAAAUAUGAGGGAGACUGCAGCUUAGUUUAAGAACCUUGAGGUUAAGAUAUUUGAAUAUUUUCUUGUAUAGUAUAUUUUGAACACUCUCCAACAAUAGUAUGCAUCUUGCAAGAUUUCUUACAACACACAUAAAAAUAAAUGGUCAAUUAAUGAACUCAUGAUCAUGUGUGUUCAAUAGGAAGAAUGAUCGAUUAUAGAAUCGGAAGAAAGUGCUCAUUUGGCAAUAUAAAGAAAGAAUAAGGGUCAUGGCAAGCAUAAGGGAAAAUGUAAAAUAUCUCCCUAAGAUGAAAUUAAGAAAGAAUCCAAAUGUUUCUUCUAUAAAAAGAAGGGGCACAUAAUGAAGGAUUACAUCAAAUUUAAGGCAUGGCUUAAAAAAAAAAGGUAAUCUAAUUUCUUGUGUUUGUUAUGAAUCUAAUAUGGUUGAUGUGAGUCACAACAUUUGGUGAAUCGAUUCUAGAUCUACAAUCCAUAUUCCGAAUUCAUUGUAGGGUUUUCAAAACUAAAUGAAGCCAGUGAAAAGUGAACAACGCAUCAUUUAGGAAAAAAGAUACAUUCACAUGCGGAAGCUAUUAAGACAUGUAAAUUAGUUUUUAAUAGUGGUUUUGUUUUGAAUUUAGAAAUAACCUUUUAUAUUCCUAGUUUUUCUAGAAAUUUAAUUUCAGUUUCAAGACUUGUACUUUUUGGUCACUCUUUUAACUUUUCAAAUUCAAACUUCAGUUUAUCAUUUAAAUAUGAAAUUAUUGGGAGUGAUACUUUAUCUAAUAGUCUCUUUUGAAUUAAUUUAAAAGACAAUGCUUAUUAUAAUGCGAUACAUAUUCAUGAUGACGCUAGUAUAAAACAAUGAGUUGUGAAUGAAGAUUCCUCUAUAUUGUGGCACUGAAGAUUAUGAAAUAUCUCCAUAGAUAAAAUUAAGUUAUUGGUAAAUGAUGGAGUACUUAGUACUUUAGUUUUUACUUAUUGUAAUACUUGUGUAGACUACAUAAAGGGAAAACAGACUAACAAGACGAAAAGAGGUGCCAAGAGAAAUAUAGAAAUAUUAGAAAUCACACAAACGGAUAUUUAUAAUUUAAAUAUGGACUCGCAUGGUUAUAAAUACUUCAUUUCUUUCCUAAAUGACUACUCACGUUACAUGUAUCUCUACUUACUUCAUAAUAAGCAUGAAGCAUUAGAUGCGGAAGUAAAGAAAUAAUGCGGUAAAUAAAUUAAGAUCGUAAGAUUAGAUAGAUGUAGAGAAUUUUAUGGUAAAUACAUUGAAAAUGGACAAGCACCCGAUCCAUUUAUAAAGUUUCUUUAAGAGUAUGUGAUAGUUGCCCAAUAUAUUAUGCUUGGUUCUCCGGACCAAAACGGUAUAGUGGAAAGAAGAAAUCGAAUAUUAUUGGACAUUAUGCGGAGUAUACUGAGCAACUUCAAAUUUCUUAAGUCCUUGUGGACUAAAGCACUUAAGACGGCAAUGUGCAUAUUAAAUCAAGUUCUAACCAAGACUGUCCCAAAAACAUAUUAUGAGUUGUUUAAAAGUUGGAAACCGAGUUUGUAAUAUGUAAGCAUUUGGGGAUGCCCAUUUGAAAUGAGAGUCUACAAUUUAUAAGAAAAGAAAUUUUACUAAAGAAUUAUAAGUAGGUAUUUCAUUAGAUUAGUCGAAAGGUCCAAUACAAGUUUUAUUGUCCAUCUCACACUACUGGGAUUGUGAAAUCAAGAAAUGCUAAGUUUCUUGAAAAUGACUUGAUUAGUAGAAACGAUUAAUCGAAGAACCUUGUUCCUAAGAAAGAUCAUUCAAACACUUAACCUUCCACCUCAAAUAUAAUAUUGGUUGUCGUUCAUAAUGUCCAUUCAGUUUAACCGGCUGAUGAAUAACUAAUUAUUGAAGUUCCACAACCUACUGAUAUUGAUAUAGUAAAUCCAGUUUUCAGUAAUUACUAGAAUUUAUUGAACAACUAGUUGAAUAACAUGCUCCUCAAGAAAAUGUUAAUGCAACAUUAAAAAUAUCUAUUAGAAUGAGGAAAUUAAUAAUUCAUAGUGAUUAUAUUAUGUAUUUACAAGAAUUUGACUAUAAUAUUGGAACUGAGAAUUAUCAUAAAAUGUUUUCAUAUGCUAUGGAUAGUGAUGAUUCUAAUUUGUGGUACAAUGCCAUGAAAGGAGAGAUGGAUUUUAUGGCAUCUAACAAAAUAUGGGAUUUGGUUGAGUUGCCUAAUGGUACGAAGGCCAUUGGUUGUAAAUGGUAUUCAAAACUAAGAGAGAUUAAUUGGGUAAGAUAUAAUGCUAGACUUGUUGCUAAAGGAUUCACUCAAAAAGAAUGAACUGAUUACAUGGAGAGAUUUUUUCCUGUAUCUAAGAAAGAUUCUUUUCAUAUUGUUUUGAUAUUGGUUGCCCAUUUUGAUAUAAAAUCACAUCAAAUGGAUGUGAAAACGGCGUUUCUCAAUGGAAAACUAGAUGAGGAGUUUUAUAUGAAACAACUUGAACGAUUCUCCUUUAGUAAAAGUGAGCAUUUGUUGUGCAAGUUUAAGAAAUCUAUAUAUUGCUUAAAACAAGCAUCUUGCCAAUAAUACUUAAAAUUCCAUAACGCCAUCUCUUCAUUUGGUUUUGUAGAAAAUGUCAUGAAUCAAUAUAUAUAUAUCAGAAGGUUAGUAUGAGCAAAAUUUGUUUUUUUGUGCUAUAUGUGGAUGAUAUUCUACUUGCAACCUAAUAAGAGGUUGUUAUAUGAAGUGAAACAAUUUCUCUUUAAGAGUUUUGACAUGAAUGAUAUGGGUGAGGUAUCUUAUAUCAUUAGAAUUAAUAUUCAUAGAGAUAGACCUUGAGGAAUUUUAGGAUCAUCUCAAAAAACUUAUAUCAAUAAUAUUUUAGAGAGAUUUCAGAAAAAAGAUUGUUUACAAAGUAUGACGCUUAUUGUGAAGGGUGACAGGUUCAAUUUGAAUAGCGCUCGAAGAACGAUAUGCAAAAUGAAUAAAUAAAUAACAUUUCAUAUGCUUUUGCUGUUGAAAGCUUGAUAUAUGCUAAUAUUUGUACUUGACCUGAUAUUGUUUUUGCUAUGCAAAUGUCGUGAAGAUAUCAGAAUAAUCCAAGUAUGCACUACUAGAAAGCUACAAAAAAAGUGAUGAGAUGCCUUUAAGGUGUCAAAGGCUACAUACUUAUGUAUAAAUAGACUAACAACCUAGAAGUAGUUGGUUAUUUGGAUGUGGACUUUGCAAUGCAAUUUUCAAAAAUCAACAUCUGGAUACAUUUUUAUAUUAGCUCGCGGAGUCGUGUCAUGAAGAAGUGCAUAGCAGAUUUUGAUUGCUAAGUUUGUUUCUUGUUUUGAAGCUAUUUCGCAUGGUAUAUGGUUGAAGAGUUCCAUUUCUGGAUUUAGAAUUGUUGAUUCUAUUUCUAGGUUAUUAAGAAUAUAUCGUGCAAUUCAAUCACGGUUUUUAUGAUUGAAAAUGUCAAAAGUGGCCAUCGAAAUAAGUAUAUCGACAUCAAGUAUUUAGCCGUAAGUUUGAAUGUGUUAAAGAGAAUAAAGUGGUCAUAAAACACGUUAGUAUUAAAUUGAUGAUAGUUGAUCAUUUAACUAAAGGCGUGCAACCAAUACAGUAUAAUGAUCAUGUAACUAUUAUGGGAAUAGGUUCCAUUAUGUGAUUUGUCGUCAUAUGGACAAUUUUUAUUUUAUGAAACUCUUAUUCUUUUAUAAUGUUACUUCUCAAUUUUGAUAUACACAUUCUGUUGUUUAUGAGAAUAACAUAUAUCUUUGGUUUUGGAAUAAAUAUAGGGUUUAUUCAUUAAGAUGUGUUGUCACAUAUAGACUGACAUUAAAGGAAUAAGAUGCAUUGUGAUACAUGGAAGAUAUUACUCGCUUUUAGAGGAAAUGUAGUUAUGAUUCAUGCGUUUUGUUUUUUUUUUUCUUUUAAGCAUAAGUUUUUGUGAUUGAUUGGAUAACCGUAUGAUGAAAAUGUUGGGAUCAAGUGGGAAAAUAUUAUCUAUAAUGUGAUCGCACAUAUAAGGAUAUACUUUUUGUAAUAAAAACUUAUUUGUUGGGGUUUGACCCACAUUUUCUCUUUUAAGUAAUGAUUUUUCCACAUGCUGUUUUUUAACGCUUCCAUACCUCUUCGUGACGAGCAACCUUAAUGGGAGACAUAAGGGCAAUCACAAGGUUUAAUGCAAAUUCUCUCAUAUGGAAAUACAUCAUCAAUACGUGAGGGGAUUGGGUUAGUAGAGUGUGCAUGUAAUAUCAUCGAAUCACCAUGAAUUUCUAAUGAGCACAAAUUUGAACAAUGGUUGGAAGUCUAUUUUAUUUUUGAUCAUAUUUUUCCACAUAUGAUUCUAAUCAACGAUUGAAGUUUGGUCUUCAAUGCGUGAUUAGAAUCGCUAGUUUGACAUAAAAUGCAUACUCACAAUCCCUUAAUGUUUUUAUGGUCAUUCUUGCUAUGACGACAAUGAUAAUAACCAUCUUGCAAUCAUGAACCAACUCAAUAUUCAUUUUGCAAAUCAAGUUUACACACCAAUAUAUUUGACCUCCUGCUAUUCAUUCCAUCAAGCACAGUUCUUUGCCAUUUUAAAUCACCAAAAUGUCGUAAAUGCCCAAUCCAUCUUUGUGGGGUAUAUAGUUUCUCAACAACACUUUUUCGUUUUACUGUACCAUAUGUCAUGUGAUGCCUUUUUCACAACUUAUAAUAUUAUAUAUAUAUAUAUAUAUAUAUAUAUAUAUAUAUAUAUCUUAUAAUUUUCCAAAAAUGAGUUUCUAAUUCAUAAAAAAAAGUACCACUCACCUAAAAAUGUGAAACUAAAUAACAAAAGCUACCUUGAGGAGGAAAAAAAAAGUUGAAAUCCUACUAAUUAAUUGGGAAAUGGAUAUUAUAGUCAAUUAGAUGACUACUUUAACUAUGACUCAACUAAAUCGGUGACAAAAGGACUUCAACAUACCAAUUCAAAAUUCAUUUCAUAGAUCAAGUUCACACACAAAUACAUUUGACCUCUUACUAUUCAUUCCAUCAAGUAGGGUUCUUUGCCAUUUUAAUUCACCAAAAAAAUUGUGAAUGUCCAAUCCAUUAUUAUGGAGCAAAUAUUCUCUCAACAAUGCUUUUCCUAUUUAUCAUACAUUAUGUCAUGUGAUGCCUUUUUCAUAACUUAUAUUUCUUAAAAUUUUCAAAGCAUUAAUUUUUAAUUCAUAAAAAAAAGAUAAGUAUCACUCACCUGAAAAUGUGAAUCUAUUAAUCAUGUAGGAAACAAAUAUCAAAAUGAAGUAGAUAACUACUUUAACUAAGACUUAACUAAAUCAGUAACAUAAGGACUCUGGCAUACCAAUAAAAGCUUGCCUAAAAGUAAAACAAUUAUUGUUGUCUACCAUGCUAUGAUAGCUCAACUACCGAAUUUUAAAUGGUUUAUUUAAACUCUACCAACAUACGUUACAAGUGGGUCCAAAUUCAUUGAAAAGCUAACCCGACAUAUUUAAAAGUCGAACUUUGCCUCAAACCCAAAGAUAGCCACUGAGAUGGGUGAAAUUUAGCGUUAGACACAGUGGUUCAAACAUGGUUCCAUUAAUGUGCAACAAACUUGAAAAUUUCAGCUCAACAAAAUCGUAACCCUUAAUGAUGAAAUCUCACGGAUUCAAAAUAUCCUGGAGUUUCUUUACAACAUAAUUUCACACCUCUAAGGUCAAUCCAACAACUCAAAAUUCAACACGGUAUGAAAUUAUAACUUUUACAUGUCCAUGGUUGUCGGUGGCUUUCGUGGACGAAAUCUCGCCUUUUUCUCUCGAGGUUCCCUCUCUUUCCUGUUUUUCUUUUGCUGACCCUCCUCUCUCUCUCUCUCUCUCUCUCUCUCUUAUUCCUUCUCUUUUAUUUUCCUUUGAGAAACCAGUUGUAGAAGAAAUAAAAUAUGGGUUGAGGCAAAAGCUUCAUCAUUAACUGAGACAGGGGCUCGGGUCUCCUGAGCCUAAAUCCUCUUGUCUUCCUUUCAAGAGGUCCGUUUGUUACGUAAAAUUUGAGAAACCAGUUGUAGAAGAAACCAGCUCGGGUCUCUCUUAUUCCUUCUCUUUUAUUUUCCUUUGAGAAACCAGUUGUAGAAGAAAUAAAAUAUGGGUUGAGGCAAAAGCUUCAUCAUUAACUGAGACAGGGGCUCGGGUCUCCUGAGCCUAAAUCCUCUUGUCUUCCUUUCAAGAGGUCCGUUUGUUACGUAAAAUUUGCCGCAUUAGAAGGUCAUAAAGAAAAAUUAGACAGUUCCACCGCUUCUCGUUUGCUUAAAUGGAUUGCAUAGAAUGGCGAGGCUCAAAUCGAGACUUAAGCCUUGGAAGAUAAAUGGCCUAUCAACCGGAGGAUUAACCCUCGAUCCCUGAUGACUUUUAGGGCUAAACAAGUUCGGUCCAAGUAUUAACUACUCCGAGCUGUGAAAGGACAUUGUCUGACAAAUGAUGUCGGGUCGAGGACAGUGCAUUCACUUUUCUGGAAAUAAUUUGUUCGACCGGUCGUGUUUGUAACGAAGUAGCCUUGUUCCAAAUGGCCAGCAAGUUGAGUUUAAUCGCGGGGAGGACUGAACUCAAGAAGCAAGUUAAUCUUCGGCUUUAAUUUACUCAUCUCUCUGUUUUCAGCUCUAACAUGAUCAACACAGAAUCGAUGCGAGCAUCUAGAUCGCCCAAGAAAGCUUUGUAACUGGGAGGCCUUCCCUUAAAUUUUAAACGAGCAGAGGUGCUGUUUUGCAUCAAUUGAAUAUCAUCUUUUGCUUAAAAGAAAAUCUCAGACAGAAUCUGCAAGCAUCGUGUGGCCAAGCCCUGCACCAAAUGAUCAAAACGAGAGCAGUCUCCAAACCAAGACCAAGCCCAUGUGGUACGAACAUCAUUCAAAACGAACGGAGAGGAAAUUCAGAUGAGAGGGGGGUCUCACGUGUGGCCCAUACAAAGAUCUAUUCCAACGGCUAUCAUUCGCUGCGGACGCAAUUCACGUGUUGAAAUUUCCCUUAUAGGGCAGUGCUCCAAAGGUGCACGCUCAGAUAUGAAAUUUGGCAACAAGGAGAACUCGCAGGCUUUCAAGCAUCCCUUAGAACAAAAAGACACGAGACUUUGCAGCGCUUUGUCAGCUCCUGCGUAUGGCUCUCAGGCCAAUUUGGAUUAAUCAAUCCUAACAACUUGGCAAUUGACAAGGGAUUCCUAAAAGCUAUCGGAAGUUUAAAAUAUUUUAUCUUAUUUGGCCCCUACUUAGAUUACAGUAGCUUCUCCAUAUUCUUUAGGGCAUAAAGAUUUUCGAUUCCGAAAAGACGGAUUAAUUACGAGCUGCUUAAAUUAUACCAGUCCAGUAGAGUAUCACGAGAACGCUUGCAAGUAGGUACCGGAGGAUAGGUUAAAAGUACAGUAUGGAAGAUUUUAAGACAUAGUUACUACAACGACGGUCGUUUCCCAGUCCGCGGAAUUGGUUGUGUGGCAUGUGAAUGAGGAUCCAUGCAGGUGAAUAGGAUGUGUACGGCAUGUGUGUUUGGCCGACGCAGUGGUGCCUUCGAGUUUCUGUGAAUAGUUGGUAUGAGAAUUUGGUAGCGGAGUUGUGACAUCACGUGAGUUUUCAUCUGUAUUAUAAAUGCUAAAGAAGGAUUGAAGAAAGAUGGAAGUUUGUGUAUGCAGAAAAAGGAUAAGGAGGAUUUGAUCUUGAUAGCUUUGAUGCAACAGCUCAUAUCCGCAUCGCAUCAAAGGGACCCACACUGCGCAGAGCUCUCCUCUCCACGUGAGAAAAGAGAGAGCUUUUUAAUUGGAAUUGAAAAGUCUCAGAAAAUUAAAACGUGAAAACGAAAAGGAAAGGUAAGAGCGUGAUGGGAAAUUUACGCUAUUCAAUCGGAGCAUCGCGUGAUCAUUCACCCACUUCAGUUAUUGCAAGUCGUAGACGCUUAUUCUAAGGAAGAUAAAAGAGCUCAGUACACUUGGGUCGUCGUGUGGGUGUAGACGGGUUAAUCACAUGAUGAUUCGAAAGCUCCCAGAAGCUUCUCUCCAUGCAAGAUCUACAGAAAACUUGGGAGUGUGCCAAUUUGGAGUCUGUAGGGUUUGAUAUUGCAUUCACGUUAUGAACAUGAACAGAAGUGUCCACAGCAAAGAUUAAAGAUGCAAGAGUGAAAGCUUGGCUAACAUUGAGAUCAAGCACUUCACUGCACUUCACUUCUUCAGUCACCAAAAGUCACUCACAGCAGAAAAAACAAUUGAUACAUUCUCUCAGUGAACUUCACUCAUGUGGGACUCACAUGUAUUGUUACUUGUGUUGAUUUUGCAAGCUCUUGCUAGUGUUUACUUGAUCAAAAGCUAAGUGCAAAGUACCCUAUUCAUGCUAGUUUCAUACUGCAAUAGUUGGAUAAUAUGAGGCCGUAUAGUCACAUAAGAUUUUGAGAAAAUUGAGGUCUUUGCAUUCAUGAAAGGCCAUUCUCAAGAGGAGGUUAAAGGCCCAUUAUAAAAUAAUUUUUUCACAUGAUAUAAAGCUAAAAAAAUUUCGAUAAACUUGCAAGUUAAAGUUGCAAGUACGUUCAUGUAGAAUUUUAUGAAACCUCAUUAGCUAGUUGUGGAACUAAUCUUAAACCUGCAGGGAACUUUAGAGUGUGGUAAUUUUUUUUUUUUAACCAAAAAGUAGUGAAAUCCAAAAGUUUGACAGAUGUUGUGAUGCUAACAAUGUAGGAUUUUUGCACUUGUCUAUCAACCAAUUGUUAAGUAUUUAAUUUGGGUUCUGGGCAAUUUUUUUGGUAUAGUAGCCUAGUGGGAGACAAUCAUUUGUAUCCUUAUCAACUUAUGAGGCAGAGUAUAAAAUAGUAAUGAUAGUGACUCACAAAGUCUGAGAGAUUUUCCUUACCAAAAAAAGUCUGAGAGAUUUAGACCCAAGUUGUUGGUUACUUCAUACACUCCUUUGAUUGGCUUUAUGUCUCAUGGAAAUUGCCUGCUUUCAUAUUCAAGGAAACCAUGUCAAGCUUGACUGCCAUUUUAUUAGAGAGAGUACUUGAAGGUAAAAUAGAGGUGAAGUUGUCGAAACAGAAGCAAGUUCUUUCCCUCUGCAAAGUUGGCAACAUUCAGAGAAUACUUGGCUUGAUAGCAAAACUGAAUUAGGUUGGAAGGAGUGUUAAUAAUACAACCAACUUGCUGGCUUCUUGAAGAGUUUAAUCUCUCCCCAUGAGGAAGGAUUUUGUGGAGUUAGUCUUUCGGCUUUAAUCUUCUUUAAAUUUGGCCUUUCACUUACGUGGCUAUGUGGUCUCUCCUGUCCGAGUAUUUAGUUAUGCAACUGAUAUCAAAGGGGUCGUUUCCUUUUAGCUUUUCAGCGAGCAAACACAAUCAAGAAACUAGCAAGCAUUUUUGGAAUAAACAGUGUGUAUGCAAGCAAUUCUGGCACAUAUAGGCUUUGCAAGAGAGAAGUUACUUGAAAGAGAAAUAGAAAUGAAAGUGGCUUUAAGUGUCCGCUACACAGUGGAGUGUGUAAUUGGAGUACUGUGUGCACAGAUGCUUCAUGUUUCUUUAUAAAAAAAAUUCAGCUUAUGGUUUCAUUGCGCACCUUCAUUUCAAGUAGAACAUGCCCUGUGACAAAUGGAAAUUCCCAUGGCACCGCAAUCAUAUAGUUUGGUUGACACCACAUUACCACAUUUGAGCUGUGGAGGAUGUAAGAUCUUCUGUGUGUUGAGGUUGGUACUCGUUACAACUAUUAGGCUCAAAGGUUGUCCAUAGCGAAAAUGCAUCCAUGCAUUAUCAUCCCUUUUUCAGGGAACCGUUUCAUCUAGUUUCUGGCUUGUGUUAACUUGUGCAUCUCUGGUGCUGUUUCACAGGUAGUCAAUGCAUAAAUUUCUUUUUGGUUAUUUGUCAUCUCAUUUGACUUACAAUUCGCUUGUGGCCCAUUGUUCCCUAGGGAGAAAGAAUUGGCUGCUGUGAAAGAUCAAUGCAGCAGACGUUGAUAUAAUCGCUAAUGAACUUGAGAUCAGUCAGCUUAUGCCAUGUGCUUGAACGCAUUUAUUCUCACUGGCCUGAGCUUUCUAAUAUUGUAUGGUAAAUUCUGAAAACAGCUGGAUCGGAAGGUAGCUGAAAGGACCUUACGUGAGCAUAAAGGUGAUGCUGUUGCUGCAAUUCGUUCCUUGCUUCGAUAAAGAAUUGGUGGCACGACAAAAAGGAUUUGUGAUUUUUCUGAGGACAUACGACUUUCCCAUAACAUUGUCCAAGUAGGAUCAAAAAGCUGUAUGAGUCGUGCUUCUUUUGGGGAUACACGACUUGCUUUCUGGGAGAUUGUUUGUACUCUCGCCGAUUUUGGUUGCUAAUGUUCAGCCCUGCAUUUUUGCCCUUCCAUGUAGUUCAUGCCGGGAAUUUUGGACGGUAUGAAAAUCAUGUACAAUUUCAACGAACAAAAAAUCACAAAUCCACAAGCCUUUGCUCAAUAAUGUGAGGUCGAUUUCUGAUACAAAGCUUGGAAGAGUUGUUGGGUUGAUGCCUGGUUGGAUGGCGAUCCUAAGUCCAAGUUCAUUAGACUGAAUUUAAUUCGAGAAACUAAAGUAUCAAACUUUCUGGAAAAUUGAAGACUUUUGAUUGCAUGUAAAAUUUUGUUGAAGUAGCCCCUGGCACAAUCGGCUAACUAACAACUGUAGAAAAGGCAUGUAUAUCUUCAUUGAUGGAAUUCCAUGGGACGAACUUGGGCUAACGGCGAUUUAGAAGCAGAAUCUGCCUUGAGCUUUAGUAGUGCGCAACCCCUGUUACCAUUGCAAAUCUCUCUGUUCCACCACUAAGCCGUCAAAGUCAAUUUGAUUUGUACAGCUUCAUGAUGAGAAUCUAAUGUUCCCCUAUAAAUGUAUCACAAACAAAUGGAUUGCAAUGCCUAAUGUGCUCAGCCUCCGAUCUCCACAACACUUUGCAACAUAUCUACAAGAUCCUUUGUGACUUUUCCGGUAAAUGCACAAAAGUGACAUACAAUCAUCCUAGAUCCACCCACAAUUGAAUUGCUCAAACGAAGGACAAACAUUCUAUCCUCUCGAAAUGGUCCCAAAAAUCUGGUCGCCAAAUUUCAUGGUCCAGAAGCAGCAAAGCGAGUCGAGAUUGGUUGGCAACAUCAACUUCCUGGCGAAUAGCCAGGUUUGCUUGGACUGUUCACCAAUGUAAUGAAUAGACAAAUCCUCUUGAUGCGCUGGAUGGUUCACGUUUCCCUUGGAGUGCUGUCGCCACCAGCAGAGCGGGAAGCCUGAAAUUGAAGUGCGUUCUGUCUCUGCAAAUCUUUGAAUCUUUCCAGUAUUUCCUGGAACGUUGGUCGGCACUUUGGAUCACUGGUUAGGAGAAAAUGCAGUUCCCACAUCAGUAUCAAAUUGUAACAAAUUGACAAUUUUUGUCCUCACAAAAAGGGGAAAAAAAAAGCUCCUGAAAGACAUCAACUUAUGCCAGAAGAAAAAAAGGUCAUGAAACUGCCUAAGAGAUUCGAGGACUUCAAAUCACGAUGAAUGAUAGGUAAAUUGUAAUGAUGCAGAUAAUUCAUGCCCCUAGCCUGAAAAGUACCCAAUUCAAUAAUUACAUGUUAAAAGCAGCAAGAUAACAUACAAGAGAUGGUAGAAUUCAAAUAACUGACAAACUCUGGAGGCCAAAAGUUCACGGGCCAAGCAGUCUCAGGAAGUUAGGAAUGCUAAGGUUCAAGACACCCGUCUCAAAUUUUUAUCAGCAUGGAAGUAAAAGGUACAUUUAAAAAAUAUCAACAAGAACAAAAAGAGGGCAAUAUAAAAAGGAGCAAAACAAACGCUGACAGGGAAACAGAUGAAAAAAAAACAUUCAGGUGACCAAAAUGUAAAACACUGCACCUACAAGAGGAUGAAUUUGGUUACAUGCUGAAUGUACAUGUAAAAUAUAUCAACAAGAACAAAAUGAGGGCAGUAUAAAAAGGAGCAAAACAAAUGCUCACUGGGAAACAGAUGAAAAAAAAAACAUUCAGGUGACCAAAAUGUAAAAUACUGCACUUAGAAAACAAUGGAUUAAGUUACACGAAUAAGAAGCAGAUACUUACCACAUCCAAAGCCAUAUGAACACAACGUCUCCAAUCCAACUUGGCUGUGUUACUCUGCAGUAAGCGAAACAAACUUCCACUGCAUCAACACACGUAACUGUUAGUUCCAUAGAGACAGGAUAUCGACAGAAAUUACAAUCACUGAAAACCAACAAACCAGACAUUACAACAAACUUUAACAUGAUGCACCAUAUAAUCAAAAAGCCUGCUUUUCAAAAGCAUUGAGAAAGUACCGUGGAAGAAACUCUGUGACUAUGCAGAGGCGCUGAGGUGAAGUUACUGCUCCCAUGAAAAGCAAAACAUUGGGGUGCCGAAGUCUUUUCAUAAGAGACGCCUGCAAGGACAAAAAAAACUGUCAUAUUAAUGGUACUUUACGAGAAGUGAGAAAAAUUGUGGCAACAUCAAAAGAGGUUCUCAGAAAAUGCAUGGUACUACGCAUGCUGAGGGGGAGAGCAUGGACAUAUAACAAUCGCAAAGUCCUAUGAGAAAGUUCCUCAUUUUGAGUAAAACGAGAAGGUAUAAUCCUUUCAUAGACCCACAUGCUAUUACAUCUAUCCAACACAACACAAUUAAUCAUAAUGCAAUGGAUCAAGGCAUGGAAAAUAUAAGGAAAAAUAUCCAUAAUCCUUUGGCAAAAAAAAAGAUCAAAACCUGCUAUCACCACAUGUACUGGAAAUGUUGCGUUGCUGUAUUAGUGGAACAACACUUGAAUUAAAAUUGCCAAGGCCAUCACUAAUAGAGCUGACACCAAUAAACUAUAUCCAUGCUUUGGGGAAAAAAUCCCAGUUGCUACAGAAUAAGCACCAAAAAUUCUAUUCAUUAAAAGGCUUCAGAAUUUUAUAAAAUAAUAAAAUAUGGGCUAGUCAUACAAGUGCAGAGAGAUAGAGAUAAAUGCAUGCAGUUCGAACAUAUUGGUCAAUCCUACUUCAUCUCUUUAUCACACUGGUUUUCAGAAUGUUUUUCCUAAACCAUCUGACUAUGUAGUUCUUAUCAGGAAAAGGAAAAAGAAAAAAAAGAACAAUCAGAAGAUGUAGGGGCAAGUGACACCAUAGAUGGAGUCAUUUGGCACCUCGAUGUUGACUCGUUGCAUCCUGGGAUAAUAUAGAUCACUUUUUGGGCUGAUUAUCAACUAAAAGGCCAACCCAUUAUCCCUCACUGCCUCAGUCUGAAUCUAGAUUAUCAACUGCAAUUACAACCUGUCGAGGAAGGCCCUUAUCAAAAUUAAACCAGCCAGGUCGCAUCCAGCAAUCACUAAACACUAUCGUAACAAUGUUUUCACGAUUUCAAAACACAGAAUAAUACCUACUGUCCAGACAAAUGACACAUUUCUCCUGUGUUUCAUGUCGGCAACAUGAGUAAAAUUCACUCCACCACCAUGCAUUACAUAUUAUAAAGAGAACUUGAAGUCCGUAAGUGAAUAGCAUAAGAGAUAGCCAAACGCUAUUAGAGGAGUGAGAUAAGUAGUACGUAUACCAUGAAGUGAGGUACAUGCAUUUUACAUCAUGACAGCAUGCAUCACUCUGUUAAACUAAAUUUAAGGGGAGUAGAAGAACACACUGAUCCGUACCACAGAGCGUGAUAGACAGUUCCACAAGAACCUGAGAGAGGAGGAACGGCAGACUAAAUAUCAGAAUGAACACUAAGAGAGUACAGUAUUACCAUAAGCAUCGUAAACACACGGAAACAAAUACGACCAAAUGAUCUCAGAAGCAAGAAAAAUCUACACCGCAUGACGAUAAUCAAUUGAGACUGGAUGCAUUUGCAGUGCAUCUCAGCAAAGUUAUUGGGGAAUAUACAUAUAAACAUCAAUAUGGAAGAAUGACAGAUCUGGCUUUUCAAGGACUAUCCAUGAUUUGCAACAAUAGCACUCAUUUUAGAGCCUUUUCGGAGUAUGUCCUACUGGCAUAAUGAAUAGCCAGACCCAAGAUUAAAGAAAAAUUACAGGCGAAAAGCAUACUACUAAUGACUUUUCAGGCAUCGCUGGACUCCUAUAAAAUCCCUUCCGUCACCCCGUCAGACAGAGAAAGAGAGAAAAGAGAAAGCGAGAAAUUACCUGGACAAGCCGGUGCCGGAUCUGGAGCCGGAGGGGGGGGUGUGGCGCGGUGGUUCGCUGUAGAAGAGAGGGAGGGCAGACAGAGAUGCGAGGAGAGACAGAGUAAGGGACGGACGAGUCGGGGCCAGAAGCAGAGGCAGAAGGGCGGCGCGGUUGUUCGCCGGUCGGGAAGAGGGAGGGCAGAGAGAGAGAGGGAGGUCGCACGCCGGUCGGUUGCUCGCGGUCGUCUCGCCGGUAUCCUCCUGGUUCGUCGGUUGCUCGCGGUGGUUCGCCGGUCGGAAAAAGCGAGGGCAGAGAGAGAGAGAGGGAGUUCGUCGGGGAGAGAGAGCGAGGGUAGAGAGAGAGGCGCAAAGAAGAACCCGCGCGACAGAAAACUCUCUCCAGAAACUAUAUAGUACAGGAAAAUUUUCAAAAUGGGCGCCUGAAAUUGUGGGUCCCAUGAGACACGUGUCGUACUCCCACCGCCUUCUUGUUUGCCACACCGGAGUGUCUCACGUACCUAAUAAUAAUGAUUCCAACGCCUCAAGAAAAGACCGCUGGAUAGAUCUGACAAAUGCCUAAAUUGAAUCUAAUGAAACAUAAUCCAAUGUAAAUUGACAUGUUUUUUAUUUUGACUCAUUUUCAUGUAAUAUAAAUUAAGUGACUCAUACUCGACCUCACUCAUAUCUAACUUGACUUAUAAAUAUAAAACACUUUCAUAUUUAACUUAAUUUAAAAAAAAAAAACUCAUGGAUAAAUUUCAAAAAAAGACCUAAAGUAUCAUUAUUUUCUCAAAUAUGAGCUCGAAGUGGACUUUGUUUCAAAUAAAGACUUGAAGUAGCUUUGGUUGUUUCAAAAUAAGGACCCGAUCUUGCUGGUUGCCAACUAACUAAAUUUUUCAACCGAUCGAGGGUAUUUUCGUCAUUUGGCAUUUUCCCUUUUUUUUUCUUUUUUUUAUGGUUCUUCUUCUUCCUCUUUGUCGAUGGCUGCCAGCCAUUGGCGAUGCCCACAAAGGGCUGGGUGAGGGUCGCCUUGCCAGUGAGGGCCAUCCAUGCUAGCCAUAGGCGAGGGAUGGCGUCGCUUGGGCGUGGCAACCCUCACCCAGGGGCCAUCUACAUGGUCGGCUAUGGCUAGCUACUAGUAAGCACAGAUGUGGGUGGCCCUCGCCCAGCCCUUUGUGGGCUUCGCUAAUAGUCGGCCAGCCACUGGCGAAGAGGAAGAAGAAGAUUAAAAAAAAAAAAAGAGGAAAGAAAAAAAGACGGAAAAUGACAAAAGACGAAAAUACCCUUGAUCGCCAAAAAGUUAGGUUCUUAUUUGAAACAAACAUAACCACUUUAGAUUUUCAUUUGAAACAACAUCCACUUCAAGCCUUUAUUUGAGAAAGUGAUGGCACUUUGAGUCUCUAUUUAAAAUAAUGUUCACUCCGCACCCUUAUUUGAGAAAAAGAUGACACUUCGAGUAUUAUUUGGAAUUUUCCCAAAACUCAUACCCAAACAGAAGUGAGAAUAAAUUAUGAACUUAUUUAAUAUAUUAUUUUGAGAUAAUUAAAAAAAAUAGGCUUUUAACCCAUUUUAAUAGAUCUAUCAUCGGAUAAACAUGAUAUCCCGACAUUUUUGGAAAUUUGUCCCAAUUAACAUUGCAUAAACAUGUAAGAAGGAUUGGGACAUCUCCCAAAAAUCAUGUAAUCGACAUUGCAUUGGUUGAGAAAAGAGCAAGAAGAACAUAAAUUAUUCGUUCAAUCCUACUUGAUUCAAACGGGAUGUUGACUGCCUUUGGGGAAGGACAUAUGUGAAACGCAAUAAGCAAAAUACACAGAAGACUAGUGACUAAUAGUCACUAAUUAAGUUAUGGAAAAACACAGAAUGGAAAGAUUGUGUUGGAUUCCAAAAAAUUGAUAAUGUUCAGAUACCGUAGAAAGAAAAAGGCAUCUUUUGUGUCAAGAACCGCUCUCCUUUCUCAAGAUAAAGUCGACAACAUCCUCCACAGUGUCUACGACCUGCAUAGGUAAAAAUAAAAGAGUUCAAUUGGGGUGAGCGAUUUUCAGAUGCACUUUUAACCUUGGAAAAUUUGCAGAGAAGACAAAUACCCCAUAAAAGUAACUUUCAAUUGGGCAUAUUUUGGAAAUAUUGACAUUUUGCUAGGCUGAAGAGGGAAAAGGUUCAGUCAUGUUUCACCCAACCAAUUUAGAAUUGACCGAUCACCCAGAGUAUAGCAAAUCAAGGUAUGUAAGUAUGGGAGGAUUAUCCACGCUGACAGCUCAAAACCACUUGAGGCCAUGUUUGGCUCAUUGCCCUGGAAUCAUGAAAAGGAAUCUCAAUCUAAGCAAUCAAAUUCCUAGAUGUGGGGUUCAUUCUCUAUUGUUUGGUUUCAAUUUACAAAUGAAGGGAGAAAUUUCUUAUGUGAGAUGCAAAGUGAGGUAAAAACAUGUCAGAAAUGGGGUGUAAAAUAUUUCUCCAUUCCACAUAUCCAAAGUGGCUAAGGAAAAACUAGGGAUAGAAACAGAAUGAAGAACCACAUACGAUCCCGCAACAAUUUCCCGAUUAUUGUCAUCUAAAAUGAUCAUACAGUUCACACAAUCAUUUCACAAACAGUUCACACAAUCAUUUCACAAACACAUUACAUACAGCUCCUCAAAAUCUCGAGUAAAGCAUUUCACGCAUAAUCUGCAACAAUGAAGAUAAAGCCAUUCACGCGUAACUCCAAACUACUUCACAGCCGUUACCUCAAGCCAUUGUGAUAUUCUUGUCCUUAUUGUGUUUUGAGUCAAAGACCCAAUCACGAGAACAAAUGGAGUGACAGCAACUCAACCAAGUGUGUUAAUGGAACUUUAUAUCCCCACCCAAGCCAAUGUGAUGCUCGUAGUUGGAGACGGGACCAGACAAGUUUCAUAAUAGCAAGAAAGAGAAAUAAUCUCACCUUGUAGAGGAAUGUGAGGACCAUGGAAUCAAGAGGCACGCGAAACUCCCAUGGAAGGAUUUGAAGAUGAUGAAUAUAGAGAGAGAGAGAGAGAGAGAGUUCUGGCUUUCUAGGAUUUAAAGAUUUAUGAAGCUCAGAAGUACUAUGCGUGUUGGGUUUGUGAAUGUUUUUUCCUCCUAGGAAUCCCAGUACCACCUCUACCUGAGCAAUCUAGUUCUGCAUUAGGAGUAUCCGUUAACUAGGCACUUUGAUUCUAUGAUCAUAAAUCCAUCCAAAAAUGAGCUGCAAUGGCAUUCCACUUCCCGUUUAUUACUCCAAGGUGAACCAAACAAGGCCUAAGUGAUUACAUGAUGUACUAUACUUUUGAAUGCUUUCAUGGUGGAAUCAAUGAUCUGCAGUCUCAACCAUGACUUUCCAUAGGAUCACGUAUCUAAAAUCUCUAAACCAAAGAACCUACCAUCAACUCACCCCAACGUACAUGCAAGGAGAGAUGGGAGAGACAGACAGAGAAAUGUCUGGGUUUUGUUAAGAGUACGAAUACCUACCACGUCCAUGGGAAGUUCUGAAUGAUUAUCUUUUCCCUUGAAUGCCCCAGUCCUUGUUAAUAUAGAAAACCAAGGAUCUCCUGCCUGAAGGAGUUGUUAUCAAAACUGGUGAUUGUGUUCAGAAAUAAAAUUACUGAUAUGAUAAAAUACAAUUCUCAGUAUGAAAUAUACCCAUUGUGCGCCUCUAAUGUUGAUUUUGGGUUAUCUCCUAUCAUGCAUAGUGUUCUGAAACAACGAAUUCCAGAGUAUGUAUUAUUCUCCACAUUCAAAUUGCUCAACAAAGAUGGCAUAAGAUUCCUUAACACGGUCUCAGCAUUUCCAUAGACAAAUGGAUUUGGCCUCCCAUACAAUGUAUACGCCAGCGGAAUUGGAUGUAUUCUGCAGAACAAGGACAGGUAAACAAUGCAUAACACAAGAUUGAAGAUUAACGCAUGUCACUUUGCUGCAUUGAGGUAAACUAGGCCCACACAAGGAGCUUAUAGGCCUUUCUUUAAUUUUUUGUGGAGAAUAUUAGAUCAAACUCCAUGUAGAACUAAAUAUUGAGAAGCUGAAACCUCACUAUCUUACCUGUUAUAGAUUGCUUCUAACGCAAUCCUGAAAGCUCCCAUACCGAGACGUCCACCAGGAAAAGUAGCCUGCCUUUGCACUUUGUCAGCUAGUCAUCAGCCAGUCUUUAGUUCCACCAAGGCUUCAAAAACUCAAGAUUGCUGCUGGCGUCACAAAUGGCAUAGCUUACCUGGUAUUCGAGGUCAUUAUUUGCAAAAAACAGGUGUGGUUGCUUUCCAGCCUCCCUUCUAGGAAGCCCCCCAGUUCUUAAUAUGUCGCAGAGCACCUAAACCCAAACUUGAGUAUCACAAAAUUUUUUUAAUAUACACAGACAGACAGACAGAUAGAUGAUGACACUCCAUUUUAUCACAUUUUCCAAACUAGAUGUCAGCACCCACUAGACUUUUAAAGAGAUGAUGACUAAAGUUGCAGAGCAGUUACUGAACAACCAAACAAAGCAUCGUGUCUUUUGAUAAUCAGUUCAAAGAUUUAGAACUAGCGUGAUGAAAAGCCCAGUAUGGACUCGACAGCUAAAUUAGAUAAUCUAAGAAAGGACAAGAUCCUUUAGGGUGGUCACAACCUAGAUAUCUCUGCUCCAAUCAACAGAAUCACUGACAACAAAUGCUGCCUGAACUCUCUGUGUUUGCACAGCAAUUUUAUUCUUUCCUAUCAUAUUAGAAGUGCUAUUCUGGUCAAUGUCUGGCUUAGUUGUCCAUCUCUUGUACGGUGCUGGUGGAUCAAUGGCAUCAAAGUAGCUAAUAUACUCAUCAAUUGACAGAACGUUUCUGCAUAGAAAAGACACGAGCAGAAAGAGGGUCAACUGGAGGAAAGAGAGAGAGAGAGAGAGAGAGAGAGAAUCAAGUUGUUGGAGUUCUCAUUCUAGAUGAAACAGUGUUGAACACAGACAACUGAAGAUUUAUGGAGAGGACUUCUCUGCGAUUACUCGAGUCCCUAAGAACUUGAGUGAUUUUUAUUCACUUUGCUUGCUCCUAUGUAUUACCUAGACAUCUUCAAUAGCAAUUUUAUUAGAUACAUAACUUUAUCCUUAUAACUUUUGAAAGCUUUCAGUAAACUUGACACCAUAUACUUUCAAAAGCUUUCAGUAACCUUGACACCAUAUAACUUUUGUCGAGCUAUUGUUGUUUAAAACUUUUGUGUAGUCUUUAGAUAGCAAGGGUAUGUGUGGGCUUACUUUUAUUUCUCUUUCUAGUGAUCUGCCUUAACCAUUGCUAGCAAGCCUUUUUAUUUUUUGGAACGCAUUGAGCUCCCUGUCUACUAAGCUUCUAAAGUAGUUUUGGAUGGUUGUGCAACCCGAAUUAUACUUGUGGCAUCUGUCUUUUCCUGUUCUAAUUAUGAGGGUUGCUGAUGGCCUAGAAGUUAUGAACGAUUGCCAGAUGCACAAAUUUAUUGAUUAUGUUUGGUUGUGGCAGUGUUAUAUCAAUUUACAAAUUGAAAACGCCCCACAAUAUGUAGCAUUUUGGUAUCUCAGGUUUGUUUUUGGAAGGUGGUGUGAUUGAUUGAUCUCUUGCAUCGAAUAACAGGGAGAAGUGGAUCUAGCUUGUAAUACUCUAGCUGACCACUUAAGCUUGAAGUAACAUAGAGUGUGAUCACUAAUUCGAGGAAAUUUUAACUCUGGCUAGGUGCUACAAUGGGCAAGAAUUUAUGUGGCUAACUGAGCAUUAGUACAUGCAUUGGCAUGCCAAAAUGGUUUUGUUAUGAGGGCGUUUUGAGCAACUGAUGAUGUUGAAUUUAUCAAAGAAAAUAAGAAAGUACUUUAGGUUCGUUUAAGUAAAUCAACUAACACCCUUCAAUCUCCCAAUAUAGAGAUGAGGUUUUGUGAUGAGGUAAAAUGUGUAGAAAGACUAGAAGGAGUUGUUUUUUUAAUCAAUUAAAGAUAGAGGCAGUUAAUUGUAGUGUGAAGUGAAAAGAUAUGUUUCUACAUUGCUUAUCAGAAGUGACUUGUUACUGUUGAUUAUGCUUUUUUGCGGUCAUCAUGUGUUCUAGAUGUUGAUUGCUUGUAUAUUUAGAUCAUCAUACUGCAGGGGCAUUGGUAAUUCCAUCAUUUUUGGUUGCUGGUGGAACUUCCUUUUAGUAGAUCUAAGACCUCUCUCUAUUUGGCAACUUCCUUGGAGUGAAAUUUUCCUCUGUUUUUCUUAAUUUCGUGAUGAGACACAAAAGUGGUCAGAAAACAUUUUGUGGUGCUUGACACAUUAAUUUAGCAGGGCUCUCAUCAGCCAGCUCUUUAGUUCCUGCUAUGAAAUCUGAGGACGAAUUUGGUAGAAUUAUUGAUUUCUUUUCCAACUUAGUAGUUAGCACUGCAUAUCAGUAACUAAAUUUGGUUUUUAUUGUGUUUUGAUGACAAUCUUUUUCCUGUGACAGUUGGCUCUGAUGAAGCAAAAGAGGCGUUGAAGAAACUUGGUGCUGAAGAAGUGUUCACUGAGAGCCAAUUAGGAGUAAAGAAUGUCAAGAGUCUACUGGAACCGUCCAUCCAUUAACCCAUUCUACCAUAUUUUUAUGCAUGGACACAUCCAAUUUUGGCCAUUGGCACUUGAGUUCUUUAUUUACAUCUUAUUGACUUUGUACUAGGGUGAUCUAAAAGAACCUACCCUUGGAUUAAACUGUGUUGGUGGCAAUGCUGCUUCUUCGAUGAUGAAAUUUUUGAGGUGCAACGAGUGUUAAAUUUGUGUCAAGUGCUUCCCUUAUCUUUCUGAAGAGAGCUGAUUUAGCUUUGUUCUCUAGCGGAGAGGAACCACGGUGACAUGGUGGGGUGUCUAAGAAACCAGUUACAGCGUCAACUUCAUCUUUUAUCUUCAAGGUAAAUUAAGAAGCAGCGAACUAAAAUUUCUACCUAUGGUUAUGAGGUUAUUUCAGUCCAGCCUUACAAUUUGACUUGUCUAUGUUUCGGUCUUAGUCUUGGCAAUGCCCUAUAGUUUUAUUUUUUUGUUUAAAUUUGGCCCAAAAUCUCGAUUUCAGUAUAUGAUGCAACCAAAUUUGAGCGAAAAAAAAAAUUCUCCCUAGAACUGAGACUAAGAGGAAUGUAUAAACUAAUGCAAUAAUGGUUCUUAUGGUUUGCAAUAACUUUCUUUGAGGGGAUAAUUGGAUCAGUUCAAAUGAUAUAACAGAGUGCAAAAGAACGAUAGAUCACUUGCUGGAACUAGUGCAUGAUGGUAAGUUAAAAUACGAGUUCGUCUUUUGUAAUAACUACUCAAAUUGCUAUAUUUGGGUCUCCAUAUCUUUAUAGUAAUUUUCAAUAGUAUUCAUCCUCAAGAUAGUGUGUUUGGAUUUUGGUGCAUACGAAUUCCUCCAAAACUACAAGACCGAGCUUGUUCCUUUUAGUGAUUUCCAUGUUGCACUGGAUAAAUCACCGGGGAAACAUGGGAGCCAUCCUAAGCAAGUCCCGAAGUUCUCAGGCUACUGAAUAUUUAAGGGUGGUAAGAAGAUGGAAAAAUUCUGCGUCAUAUCCUUCAGACGAUCAGCCUGUUUUGAAGUUCUGAGGCGCCGGAUCAACCAGGCACAAAAACUAUGUAUCUUUUCCCUUCUUAUUAUUUUCUCUUUACAUAAGUGAUGUAUCUUUUCCGUUGAGGUAAUUUCAUUGCUGCUUAUUUUCACCAAUUUCCAUUCUGAAUUUGUUUUGCAUCAUGCCAUCCAAUCUCAAACUAAUCUCAUGCGACAUGAGGUCCAUCUACUACGGCUGAAUUUGGAGAUCCAAACAUCGCCCCGUUUGGUAAGGGUCCAUAAAGGUUUCAGAUUUGCCAAUUACAAUUCUCAUAUACACGUAACAAAGAACAUCGGGAUACUUUCCCAAAAAUCAUGUAAUCAACAUCGCAUGCAUUGAGAAAAGAGUAAGAAGAACCAUAAAUUAUUCAUUUGAUCUAACCUAAUUCAAAUGGGAUGUGGACUGCCUUCGAGGAACAUCAUUCAUACAUGAUGAGCAAAAUCAAUAGAAGACUAGCUAAUGGUAGUUACUUUUUAUGAUAGGGAAAACACAGAAUGGAAGAUCGUACCAGCUUCCAAAGAAGUGACAAUUGUUCAGAUACCACAGAAAGAAAAGGCAUCUUUUGUUUAAGUGAUGUCAAGAACCGCACUCCUUUCUCAAGAUAAAGUCGACAGCAUCCUCAACAGUAUCCACGACCUGCAUAGGUAAACAAAAAAGAGUUUGAUCAGGAUGAGUGAUUUUCGAAUUCAUUUUUAACCUUGGAAAAUUUAGGGAGAAGACAAAUUCCCCACAAAAAAUGUGCACGGUUUUGAAAUACUGACAUUUCACAAGGCUGAAUAGGGAAAGGGAUCGCUCAAUCAUGUUUCAUCCAACCAAGUUAGAAUUCACAGAUCACCCAGAGCAUAGCAAAUCAAGGUAUGUAAGUAUGGGACACCUCAAACACUUAAGGCCAUGUUUCAUGCCCAUGCAAUUAUGAAAAGGAAUCCCGUUCUAAGCAACCAAAUUCCUAGGAGUGGGUUUUUUUUUUCCCUUUGUUGUCCGGUCUCAAAUUACCAGUGAAGAGAGAAAUGUCCAACGUGAGUUGCCAAAUGAGGUUAAAACAUGUCAGAAAUGGAAUGUGUCUCCAAUCAACAUGUACAAAGCGGAGGAUAGAAACAAAGCGAAGAACCACAUAAGAUCCCUCAACAAUUUCCCGAUCAUUGUCCUCCAAAUGAUUUUACAGUUCACACAAGCAUUUUUACGAACCGAUUAUAUAAAACUCAUCAAAAUGUUGCAAGUCAAGCAUUUUUCGCACAAAAUCCACAGCGAUGAAGAUGAAGCCAUUUUUAUUAACUUCAAACUACUGCACAGAAGUUACCUUAAGCCAUUAUUCAUAUUUCUUAUCCUCUUUGUGUUUUGAGUCAGAGACCAAUUACAAGAACUGCAAAUGGGGUGACAGCAACUCAGCCGAGUUGGUAAAUGGAACUUUACCCCCCCCCCCCCCCCCCCUCCCCCACAAGAAAAAAAAAAGCCAACAUGAUGCUUGUCGCUGAUGUCUCCAUAAAGAAUCCAAACAAGUUUCACAAUGGCAAGAGAGAGAAAGGAUUUCACCUAGUAGAGGGAUGUGAGGGUUAUAGAAUCAAGAGGCAGACGAAACUCACGUGGGAAGGAUUUGAAGAUGAUGAACGGAGGGCGGGAGAGAGAGAGAAAGUUCUGAUUUUGUAGGAUUUAAAGAGGAUGAAGCUCAGAAUACUGAGUGGGUAGAGUUCACAAAUGUUUUUCUCUUCUAGGAAUUCCAGUACCACCUCUACCUGAGCAAUCCAAUUCUGCAUUUUAAAGAGAAUCCAUAACCUAGGUAAUUUGAUUCCGCAAUCAUAAAACCAUCUGAAGAUGAGUUGCAAUGGGAUCUCAUUUCCUUUUCUUACACCAAAGUGAACCAAACAAGGCCUAAGUGAUUGCGCAAUGUACUAUACUUCUUAAUGUUUUCCAGGUGGAAUCUAAGAUCUGCAUCUCAACCAUGACUUUCCACUAGGAACACAGAUAUAAAAUCUCUAAACCAAAGAAGUGAACAUGCUGGAAUGAACACAACUUGCACAUGUAGGAACCUACCAUCAACUCACCCCCAACAUACAUACGAGGAAGAGUGAGAGAGACAAAGAUGUGUAAAUUUUGUUAAGAGUACAUAUACUCACCAAGUCAGCAAGGAACUCUGAAUGAUUAUCUUUUCCCUUGAAUACCCCAGUCCUUGUUAAUAUAGAAAACCAAGGAUCUCCUGCCUGAAGGAGUUGUUGGCAGUAUUGGUGAUUACGUUUCAAAAUAAAUUCACUGAUAUAAUAAACUAUAAUUUUUGGUAUGAAAUAUACCUGCCGUGCACCUCUAAUGUCGAUUUUUGGAUUAUCUCCUAUCAUGUAUAGGGUUUUGAAACAAAGAAUUCCAGAGUUUGUAGUAUUCUCCACAUCUAGGUUGCUUAACAAAGAUGGCAUAAGAUUCCUUAACAUUGUCUCAGCAUUUCCAUAGACAAAUGGAUUUGGCUUCCCGUAUGAUGUAUACGCCAGAGGAAUGGGAUGUAUUCUGCAGUACAGGGACAAGUAAACAAUGCGCAACAUAAGAUUGAAGAUUAAUGCAUGUCGUUAUGCUGCAUUAAGGCAAAUUAGGCCUACACAAGGAUCUUAUGGGCCAAUCUUUAAUUUUUUGUAGAGAUUAUUAUAUCAAACUCCAUGCAGAACUAACC